rnacentral:lncRNA from 1 species
CUGUGGAGGGAAUUAGCUAGAAGCUGCUGUAGAUGUAACUUGUUUUCAGGGGAACUAAUGGCAAUUUGCAAGUAUGCGUUGUUCGUCUGAAAUGCUGUUCUCAUGGUGAUAUCAAAUUCUCCCCCAGUUCUAUGCUCUUCAUGGGGCCAGAGCACAGAAACAUCAUGAAGAUAAACAUGCCAACCUGGGCUUGAAUCCCUCUGUCUCUCUCAUUGCGGGCGCACGCCCGCCUGCCUCUGGUUUGAACUGUUUAUUUUUGUGACUUUCCUGCCAUUACAUUGCCUUUCGUUGUAUCAUUUACGGCAACGAUCCUUUGCUACAUUACGGUCCUCAUCUUGCAAGUUCCGUUCUCGCUCCCGCGAGGCGAAGUGAAUAAUACCAUCGACCGUCUCCUCAACCCGCUGUGCCGCCCGGAGGUUCUUGAAUCUUUGCUAAUUGUGCCGACCGAGCAGGUUAUGAAUGUGGUGGGUUGACCGUAGUACAUUAUAGGAGAGGUCUAGUCCAUGAUGUCAAGUCGAUCUGCUGUGUUCCUCUAUUAUUUGUGACAGAGAUCAUGCGUUUGUGUUGGGCAAUGAAGGGUUUAUCUUUUAAACAGAGAACACGGAAUACAAAAGCCGAGAGUUUUUAUCUAUCUAAAAUGUUAGAAACAUAUAUGUACAAGCCUAUAGAUAAGUUGAUAUCGUUCUUAAAUAUAGUUAUGAAAAUACUUAGAUAACUCGAUACAAUUUGAAAUGAGGUUUUAUUUUUACUACCAUACUUAUUGUUGAAAAGAUAUCUUAAAAUCCGGAUAAUAGUGUAAUUUUGAAUAUUCGUGAAAUAGUUUCGAAGAAUUGAUUUGGCAUUGUUAUAGAAAGUUGACAAUGAGACUUGGAGAGUUUUGAGGAAUAGAUUGUGCAUUUCUCAGUUAGUUAGGGAUUGGAUGAAUAUUUCAUAAUCGUUCAAGGGCUUGUGGUGACUUUCUCCUUGUUUGAUGAAAUUUGUAAUCAAAUAUUUAGAAAUAAAUCAAGGACCGAAUUAAAUGAACUAAAAAUUAUUACACAUCAUACUAAAUUUCAUGAACUAUUAAGGAAUACAGGAUUUGAUUAUUUGCGAUAUCUUUAGGACUCAUUUAUAAAUUAAAGUAAAUAAUUCUUGAUUGAGCUUCGAUCAAGUAUAAAUUAUUUUAUUUUUAGCUUAACCCAAACUUAUUUAAGAAAUUUGUAGAGAUUCAAUUUGGUCGAUUAAUCUCCGAAAACAGAUGCCCAUGAAAAAAAAGAAGGGAUUCCAUUUUUAUUUAAAGCACAAAGCCUCAUUAACUCAAAAGAAUAAAAAUAUUUGCGCAGAAUUGUUAUAUAGAUUGAAAAAUCAGUAGGAAACUGUCGCCCAAUUUAUCCGUUUUUUCAGGAAUCCGCUCUAAAUAAUAAAGAGAAGAUCCGACGGCAGAAAAGCGGGUCCGACCCUGGGGAUGGCCGAGCCACCGUCCGAUUCCCCGAGUCAGCUGACGGCCGUCGUCGGUCUCCUCGAAUCGAUCGAUCUCGGCGCGACACGGCAUCGCCACCCGCCGGACGCCGCCGCGCUCGUCGCCGGACUGUCCCGGUGCAUCCGCGCAGCCGAUCCCGAGCUCAGCCUCCCCUUGCCUGAAACUCUAACUCAAGAUAACAUCAGGCAAUCUCUCUCUCUCUCUCUCUCUCUCUCUACGGUGCGCGCAUUGCUUCUUGUAUUUCCAGUUUGAUUUACAGCUCCCUCUGUCGACAUUCAUGGCGAGAGAUGGAAGAAAGGACGUUUCUUUGUUUGAUCCGUUCGUUCGUUUAGUGGGUUGAUCAUUGAUGGCAGUGACGCUACAUGGGUUGGUGAACCCUCUUGAGUUUCACGUCAUAUCACUGCUCAGAAUGAAGUUUGCGCCCUGUGUUCUGAGGUUGUUUGAUUGUUAGACAGCAUGCAUUCCUUUCUUUGAUAUGAGUUCUGAGGAAAGCUUGAGUCUUGACCAAUGGCUGCUUGGGGUAUUUUGCCAAAAAUCCUGUCUUUCUUGCCCAAGUAAAUUAGUUUCUUUUUAGGGAGUCGCCUCGAUGUAGUUUAUGUUGCCCUCCGUUUACAAUUAUGUCACAGGGUAAAUGGGUAUUCAGAUUGAACUUUUUCCGGUUGCAUUUAUGGCUUCUGUUAUUGCUAUUCAGGGAAGUGAGUCAUGGUGUCGAAGAAGCUUUAAAAUUGUUAAACUGCCCGCACCCUCUGCAAGCUUCGGACAUUUACAGUCUUGAAGUCGGAAGCGUGUAUCCUGUUGCACGGUGGCUUGUCAAUCAUGUUCAGACGCGCGUUGGAGUUACGGGGGAUGAGGUGAGUUUGGCUAAUUGGUGUGGUGCCAUGGUUCUGAACUAGUUCUGCGUCUUCACAUGCUAAUGUGGCUUCUUUUCUGUUGUAAAUUGAAUCACUCUUGCUACUAAGAUCAUGCCAUCUUUGCUAUAGAGACACCCAUACUACUCACACCGGACUUUUUGCUAAAGAUCAGGAGAAUACUCUUUGGCAGCUUGAUGGUGGAUUAGGUGAUGCAAGAACAGUCUAGAUACAGUGAUCCAGAGGAAAAGGUUAGUGAGAGGAUAUAACGGUUGGAGCUCAUUAAUUCGGAUUCAUGCAAGAGAUUAACACUUAUUUAGGAGUACUUUCUUGAAAAGGCAGAAGCUCUUUUCUCUGUUUCCAUGGUAGCUAGAUUCAUCUGGUGGUAACUUUAGUUUUCUUCUUCUCCUGGCCAGAAGCUGAUGAGAAUGCAUAUUUUAGAAGAGAUGCAACUCUUACACGAGAAAAUCAGGGCAGCAAAAGUCGAUUCUGUGGUUCACCGAUUAAUGUUGCUCAUGAAGUCACUGAAGGUGGAUAUUCUCCCUCUACUAUGUGGACAUGUCUCUAAACCAUUUUUUGAUGCUAAUGCAUUUUUUCCUGGACCAACUGCUAAUUUAGCCUCGAAUCAAUGUCAAUUUUCAUUUUCUGGGGUUUGGCCAGCAUGUGGAUGUCCUUCCAUAUUCUCUCAUGAUCCAUCAUGUGUAGAUCCUUAUUUUUACCUUUUUUUCCCCAAUAGUCUUUUGCUCCCAUUUUUACAUUUACGUAAUGGGAAUGGCUGCAGGUCUUGGAAAAGAAAGAAUUGGAUUGCCAUUCUAAUCACACUGCAAAGAAAUCAGAUUUGGAAGCCAAGAUUAUUCACUUGGAGGAGAAAAUAUCCAACAACUGUGAUAGCAAGAGUCUCCAUGAUGAUUUAGACCAUUGUAUUAGCAUAUCACUGGAAAAGUUGCACCUUGCGAAGAAGGUAUUGGGUCUUAUUAUUACCCUUGAGGACUUAUGUCAUCUGAUUGUAUAUUUUGGUCCACUGCCAGAAUGUCACCAAUCCAUAAUUUCUGCAUAUAUCUGAUCAACACUUUUUUUUUUGGGUCGCUCAUCAACAUGUUUGAGUCAUGGUGAUUAGUCAAUGAUUGAGCACAAUAGAGGCUAGUCAAUGGUAAUCCAUCAUGAUGGUCCAUAUAUGAAUUGAAAUGUACUGCAGGUCCGAAUCACAAUGAUAGCAAUAUAAGGAUCUUGUUGAGAACAGGUAGUUUUUGCUGGGAUUCUGAUGUCCUUUAUUUCUAUGUCAGCCAAGGAGUUUUUAUUACUGUGUGUUCAUGUUCAUAUUUUCUGCGAAAGAAUUUUGGCUGAUGCUUUCUUCUACCAUCCCUUUGUAACUUGUAUGGAUUAUAAUGAGCAGAAACAUAAUGGAAGUUCUCCUCUUGGGGGCCCUUUCUUUAGUUCAAUGGAUGGGACAAAUAGUGUUUGAGAUGAAUUGCUAAUUAGCUAGUGCAAUUCACUGCUUAUCCUCUCUGCUUGUUGUGAACUCAAUUUGGUCUACCUUUGGAAUUUGACAUUGGAUGGCUCUAAUUUAAUCUCGUCCUGUCAUAAGAUUUUGGUCAAGAUCUCUUCUUUGAUUUUAUGUUCAUGUUGUUAUAACGGUGCAUGCAAAUUUUCUUACAAGACUGCAAUCUUUAUGAUUGAAGAAAAUAAUGGUGUAUCAAUUGGGUAAAAUUUGUCUUGCGAUUUUAAAUCUUUCAUGUUUUGAUUCUGAUGUCUAUCCAGUAAACUGCUGCCAUCGACCAAGUUGUAGCAUUUCUCUGUGUGUGCAGUAGAGCAAUUUAAUAUCCUUCGGCCUUGGGCCCAAUUUUGGCGGGCAACCUUUGAGUGCUGGAUUUUUUCAAGCGGAUAUUAUUUUUGUUAUGAUUUCUUUUGCAGAAUGCAAUACAAAUGACUUGCUGUUGCAUGCCUGAUUUUAUUUGGUCCAAAGAUAUAGCUUAGCUGUCAUACCUUUUGAGCAUAUUUUGUCCUGCAAUUCUCAUUUAUGGUGCAAUGUAUUCCUGAUGGUAGGACCUAGCGGCUAGACUGAGGAUGGUAUUGUCUGUAAAGCAGCAACUUGAAGAUGUGCCUUCACAAUCGGAACUCAUUCAGUAUGUUCUCUCUCUCCCUUGCCCUAAUUUUGUCUUUUAGAUUUCUCUAGAAUCUAUGAUGAACUGGUCUACUUUUAUCACCCAGAUUUUUCAAUUUUCUUUUGGCUCCUGAUUUCAUUGUCUUGAUUCCAUAGACUAGUUUGAUCAUUUCCUAGUCCUUACUCUGGUGCCCACAACAGGUAUUUCUUUACUGAGCAUUUGUAGUCUGUGUCAAAAUUAUAAUAUAGGUUAUAAAUUGAUAUAGUGUGUGCUGGUGCUCCAACACAUCUAGCCUUUUUCUCCUUAGUUGUUCUUUCCUGUCUAAUUGAAGAUCCAAACUCUAGUUUUCUUCAUGAGUGUAGUUAGUAAUGCUCUAACAUGAAAAUGGGAAUUAAGCUACGGGAUCCUGCACUGAUGAGACAUGUAGAUCAAACUACUGGCAGUGGUGGGAUGAAAUGCUUAAAUUGAAUCAUCGACAGGCAUGCAUUGGAUUACCAACUAUCUAAAGAAAACAUUAAUCCCAACAAGUUAACUGAUCCUACCAGUAAGGGACCUUAAAAUUGUGAUUUAGACAUAAUCUAGGGAUGAAACUAUAGGAGUGAUGUGGGUUACAGGAAGUGCUUCAUAUAUAUUCACGUUAAAGGAUUCUGGAACUUUUAUUGACAAACAGACUUGCCUUAUGUCCAAUUAUUGUCAAGCUAAAAAACUAUUUUGCUGACAAAGUAGAAGAUGUGAGAGAUUUUGUGGAGAGGUUGCUCAAAUUUUUGAAAUUUUGUAAUAUCACUAUCAACUGUUUUAAAAGUUUAAACUAUUAGAUGAAAGAAUGAUUGGUUUACUAUCAUAACUCUAACAUUACCACUUUUUCAUACUCUUAAAAUUUAUGAUUUUUUAUGUCUACAUCUGCACUAUAGAUGUAGAUAUAAAAAAUCACAUACUUAUAUUAGGGGACAAAAAUGGCCCCACUUAUUUUAAUGUCCGAAACAAAUAUCAUGAACCCUUACUCGAGGGUAUAAAAGGGCCAUCGUUGUAUUUUCCAUUCAAGCAAUCAUUCAUGGCAGAGAUGUGGUUAAUGAUGCUUAUGUGUCAUGCUGACUCGUCACUUUCUAUUUUUUUUUUUUUUUAUAAUUAAAUGUUAAAUAUUUUUUAAGCAAGAAAAUAAUUUUCACUUAACAUUAAAAGAAAAAAACCAGUUAACAUAGAAGAGGAGUGAGGGGAAGGGGGAGUGGCCAGUGGCAGUGGCCGACGCCAUCCUUGAGGUCGGCAUUGGCUGCAAUGACAUCUCUUGUUGACAUAAUUAGUUGACACCAUUGUCAUUUGGCCAUAGGACAGAGUAGUCAAAGGCGACUGCAGAGAGAGGUGCCAUUGGUGCUUGGGGUUGGGCGUAGAUGGAGGCUGAAUAAAUGACAGUUCUGCUUGAUAAAAUUUACAAACAAAUUGUAAGUGUCUGUUAAUGGAACAUUUGGAUUAUCAAGCUGAGACCACUCUUAACAGAACACUGGCACCCUAAUAGUCACCUCUUUGCUUGCCCUUGUACCCAUGGCAACCAUUCUGCUCCAUCAAUUGACUGCUCUCGUGACCUUUUUGCACUCAUCUAGAGCCAUUUUGAACCUCCCAGAUUUAGUUAUUCAUCAUAAAAUUAAGCCAAGCCAUUUUUGCGUGACAUGUUGCGGUUGACACUAGCCUCAAGGGUAGUAUCGACCACCGCUGCCAGCCCACCCCCUUCCCCNNNNNNNNNNNNNNNNNNNNNNNNNNNNNNNNNNNNNNNNNNNNNNNNNNNNNNNNNNNNNNNNNNNNNNNNNNNNNNNNNNNNNNNNNNNNNNNNNNNNNNNNNNNNNNNNNNNNNNNNNNNNNNNNNNNNNNNNNNNNNNNNNNNNNNNNNNNNNNNNNNNNNNNNNNNNNNNNNNNNNNNNNNNNNNNNNNNNNNNNNNNNNNNNNNNNNUACCAAAUUAAUUUUGUCUCUCAUUACAAUCUCGCCAGCAAUGCCAAACAUCAUAGGUUGUAAAAGAUUGUGUGGAACCACUGUCAAUAGUUCUAAAUGAUUAGAUUGUUGGAUGAAGGUGUGGUAUUAAUAUUUCAAGAAUUCAUCGCCCAUACUCGCGCAUAGGCUGGAUUUUGACACAACAUUAAAGCAUGUAAAUAUAUAGUAUGGGAAGUAAAUAAAGGCCUGGAAAGAUUUGAACUCAGAACUUGAUGUUCCGCUGCCAUUAAAGAUUUUAUGGAACUGUUGCUAACUGUUUUAAAAGUUUAAGCUGUUAAAUGACGGCAUGGUUUUAAUGUUUAAGUUCUUACAGGAGGAUUUUGGGCCUUCUCUUCUCCUCUUAAGUAUUUCUACUACUUGUUAACUUUAGAUAGUUGAUCCUGUUCACAUGAUGAUUUGUUUCCUAAUUCCCUCCUGAAACAAAUUUGCUGUGCUGGGCAUUGUUAAUGCGGUUUAAGUUUUAACUAUCAGAGUGGAUCAAUCUGGGUAUGGUUUAAGGGUAAACUUCUUCCCUCAGUAUGAGAGUAUGUUCUUUAGGGAUUGGUAAUCAAAGUGCUCUUUGCAGGUAUGAACGCCGCUUUUCCGAGUUGAAUAUGACUAUUGAGGUGAGGAGUUCAUUUUUUGAGGCGUUGCUUCUAUGUAUCUUGUACAUUAUAUUGGUAUAACUAUUCUUAGUGCUGACACUGCAAUUACAAUUCCUUUUGUUUGUUAAUUUACAGGAAAUUCAUAGACAAACACGUAAAUACUAUGCAACAUAUAAUGCACUUUUGGAGCUUAAAGAGCUAAUGCUGAAGGAAACAUCAUUAUUGAAUUCGCUAAAUUCCCAGGUAUAACAUAAUCACUUGAAGAUCUUGAUUAAUAUUUGUCAGUUCCCCCUCAUCUUCUGAAGUGCUCCCCAUGUCCUCUCCUGUAAUCAUUCUAUUUUACCAGCUAUCUUCUCUUCUUUCUUUGAGUCUCAUGACCGUUGCCUCAAGCAAGAAGUAUCUAGCUGCAGUGAAAUUCAUUUUGAAAGGGCUCAUGGGCCCCCACAGAUUUCCCUUUUAGCAAAACCCUUAAUUAGUAUUAGAAUUCUAAAGGAAGUUAUGACUGCAUAUACUGUGUUAGAAACUUCCAGUGAUGUUCCUCUUAAACAUGGUUUUACGUACUGUUUCUAAUGGUUUAUAUCACAAACAUGAGCUUUUGGUUGGUCAUCAACUUUUUAACAGUUUUAUCUUCCCUGAAACUAUAUUGUUUAUAAUUCCAUUCAGUUUCAAGAUGCCAUAAGUGAUACUGCUGGUCGCCUGAAACUUAUUGAUUCCAUGGAAGGAAUUCUGAAGGGCAUAAAACAGGUAACAUUAUAUACAAACUUUGUGCCUUCUCCUCCUCCGGCUUGGCUUAGAGUUAAUUUCACUGCAUGAAGUUGUGACACGGAUUAUACGGUCCUAUGUGCAAUUUUACGAACUAUACAUCAUUGCUGUAUCUUCAGCUAAGUGACAAUUGAACAAUUGGUCUUGUGCUGAAUGGUCUAUGGUUGUGUUUUCAGAAAAUAAAAGAGAUUGCUGUUGCCAUCUUUCAGUUGCAUUUUCUUGCUGGUUUAUUCUUGUCACCUCUCUUUAAACAUCUCUACACAUCUACGUCUUCUCUGUUUCCUGUAUAGGGUUGGAUGCCUUAUAUUUAAAAGAACAUAUUUGGGAUGUCAACAUACAUAAAUAGACAGUUUCUUGGUAGAACUUUUUCCAUCUAAUCUUUAGUGGGAAGAAAGAUAAUUGGUGCUAACAUGUUUCUUUUUAGUUUUGGUACUCUGUUCAUCGAUUGAUCUUUAUCCUUAUGUUCGUGUUUGGGUCUCUUAGAGCACCCAGCUAAUUGCGAUUGUUCGUCAAUUGACUUACACAUCUACUAAUACCACUUUCUCCAGUUACUACUUUUAUAUAUUUUCUGAUGCCCAUUGGGAGAGCUCUACGGGCGUGACGAAAGUUUUGAGAAAAUUUUUGAUAUCUUGGGUGUUGGAAGACUUUGGGUUGGCUGAGCCUGAGAUAUGUCAGUCUUAGACGCUUAAACUAUGUGUUGUAAAAUGAGGCCCGUGACAAACUUUCUCAAAAGCAUGGAGAAAGCUAUAAAUCAGUUUUAUUUCUUUUUUCCUUUAGCAGUUUUUUUGUAUUAGGCAGCACAGACAGAUUGUGUUGAUAUGCAGAAGCUACAGAAAGUGCAAGAGGGGAUCCAGGCUGAUCAGAGAGUCUGCAAUACACUCAGGGAGAAGUAUGCGGCAGCAGCAGCUAGUCAGAGACAUGGUUCUAGUCUGUUAAGAGCUCUUCAGGUAACCACUUGCGCCAGAACAGUAACUGACUGAAGUACACUGUUCUUCCUCAUCUUUGUGCCCACACUGAAAUGUGUUCUUAAAUAUAAGGAAGCCAAAUGUGUUCUGUUGUCAUAUGUAUAGAGUCGGAUCCCCUAGUCAGGGUUCUUGUGAUGAUGCUAUGGAAGGUUAUUACUGCCUUUUAGUUUUUAUGAGGUCAUUGUCUACAGUGGCAGACACUACAAACGAACAAUCUUUCUACAGACAUAUCCUUUUUUACCAUGGUUUUGCCCUAUCUUGGGACCUCUCUGUGAAGUUGACAUUAUAAAAUCACUUAGUCCCUUGUAGUUAAUUCACCUCUUUCUAGUGGGUCCAAGUAAUAUUGUAGCUCCAAAUAAAAGAGGAAAAGGUUCUUGACCUAGUGGCGUUCAGGGAUAAUUUGAUCUGUAUAGGAAGAGGGAUGCAGAUCAUCCAUUUUCUAGGGAGUCUCUUAAGGAUUUAAUGUUCAGGGUGCAAUCAAGUUAUAUCGCCACUUGUUUUAUAAUCUUCUAUCGACUGGGUAAUUGGCACUGACUAAUUUAAUUACAAUCUGAUCUCUCUUCUUUCUUACUGCUUAUUUAGAGAAAUCAUGGAAUAAAUGGCAUAUGUUUGAAAAAUUAGUAGAUCUUUUGGGAGGGAGUGAUGACAAAUAACCCUAUGGCAAAGAGAAAAUUUCUAUUCUCGCACGCGUUUUUCUUUUUAAAUUAUUGUCACCAAUCAAGACCAAUUCAUUGUGCGUAUCUUGUUUAUGUUAGUUGGGUUCUGUUCGAGUUUCCUAAUCCUUAGCUAUACAUUAGCUUAGUCUAUUACAUUGCUUCAAGAUCUUACGAUAGUUAAUUCACCCAAAGCCUAAAUUAAGACACCUGAUUUCCAGGAGGAAAUCGCGAGAAACCAGAGACUUAAGAGUGAACUUCGGUCCAGAAAUGCUGCUACACCAUGUGAAGUCGAGGUGAUAGGAAGUUUGUGAAGUUGUGGAACUAAUAUGAGGGUGCAGCUUUGGUCAAGAUGAUUCACGUGACCUGUGUACCACAUGCCUGCGUACGAAACUAGUAGUCUAUGCAAUGCAGGAUUGAGGCUACGUGCAUCUGGUCAUCCUGAGAUUCCUCAAUGUGGGGGCAUCAUGGAUUGGGGGUCCCAGUUAGCAUGUUCAGUUAAAUGAUUGCAGAUUAUAUGGAGCGACAUAAGUCUUUGGUUACUUUUGAUGUUAGGUCAAGGCCUUAAAUUGUCGUGUAUGGUUUUCAAAGCCAGCACAAAAGCCAUUUAUCGGGUUCUGAAUGAUGUAAAAUUAUCUGGAUACAACCUUUCUUACCUUUGAUAAUUAUAACAUGAUUAUUUUAGGACAUUUUUCUUUGCUUCCCCUAAUCUUUAUGCUAUAAUCCGUCUAAGAUGACUAUUUUUGGAUCGUCAUUUUCCUAGUCAUCUCUUCAACCAUUGGUCAACAUGAAUCUUCUGGUCUUUCUGAUAGUCAUGUCUUUUAUUCCAAACCGAGCUAAAUGAUAAGAAUAUCUUUACUUGUGAUGUCUUUUAGUAUAUGGGUUUUAAAUCUUUGUGGAUUUGCAUUGAUCUGAUAUUAUAUUACAUUUUGAAGAGGGUGCUAGCUAGCAAUUGAAUUUCUCAUGUCAAGACGGGGUGAUUUGUCCUAUUCUGAAAGAAAUAUCUUAUUGCAAAAGGGUUAAAGAGAUUGUUGUUCACUUGUCUUUGUACUAGAAAUUAUUAAGCCUGGUACAUCUGUUGCCUUUUGGCAUCAGGACAAUAGGGGCAACACUAACGACACUUAGCCUGACUUCCCAUCAUAUGCAUAUGUUUUCUUCUGUAGACACACUGUGAAUUGUGUGAGGGGACAUGCAAGUGCCAUGUUGCCCACCCUACGUGACAAAUGAAAAGAGAGCUUUUUCAUUGCAUUUUUAAUUUCCUUUUUUUGGCUGCAUAUUCUUUACUUAAUUUAGCUCAGAAGAACCGCAAUCCAUGCCAAGAUUAGUUCCUGUAUUGCACAUCAUCCUUUGAAAUGGUCAUUGAUUUAAGGAGCAAAGUGUUUUGUCCAUCAUUCACCAAUCAAGACCUACAGCUUCAUAAUAAACUGUGCUCAACAUAAUGGAGUAGUUAUUAGAGACAAUGAAAUCAUCCAUAUCUGAGCAAUAUGCCAAUCAUGGAUGAUAAGAAGUGCACCUUCUCUAGAUGCUGCUUUUUGAUGCUCUCGAAACUCCUUUACAAAGGACAAAUUUUGGGUGGGCCACGGAAUUAGGCAAAAAGAAAUAUUUAUAGCAUUUUCCCCUGACUCAGGGCAGACACAUGGGCAACUGGAGUCUUUUUAAUGACAUGUCAUUUUUUUAAGGUCUCCUUAGUUGUCAAUAAGUUAAAAGACUUUGGAAAUCCUCAGAAUAGGACGACAUAGCAUCACCUUUCCCCCACCACCAUAAAAUAAAGCAGAAUAUAAUAGAGUAAAAGAUAUGUAGAAGGGGGGCACAGAGCCAGAUACUUCCAAGCUCCCCAGAAAAGGACAAGAAAGAGGAGAGUACAAAGAAGAGCAAAACCUCUCUGAUCUUGGAAGAUGGGUUAGUAAGCAAGAACGAUACUAAGAAUGGGAAAAUGAGAAAGACUCAGUCGUCUUUAAUUUACAAAAGUUUAUCACAUCACUUGGUAUACCAAUUCACGAACCUAUGUUGGUGUGCUUGGCGUUAUUCCUGUCCCUUAACAUCAUAAGCUCGAUUCCACGGUUUCACGAGGUAUUAUCAAUUUUGGUAUUACUUAGUUCGGGGAAAUCUUAUUCAAGGGAAAUCUUAGAUUUACUCGCAUGAGAUAGAGCAAAAGGCUUGUUAGAGAAAUAAAAACAGAAGACAUGCAAUCAUAAGGUGAAGAGAACAAUAUUAUGACUUUAGAUCUUCUUUCAUUUCUUAUUCCACUCAAAAGGAAUGCUGAGUCCAUCUCCAAAAGGAAUAGAUUAAUGCAAUGGUAUUAUUAAUUAAUUUUCUCCAUCAUACUCCAUUAAAAACACAAUUUCAUAAGCUUUGGCCUAGGUUCCAAUCUCUUCCAUGGUUUAGAUACGAUCAACCGACACAACAUAAGAGAUCAAUCAUUCUAGUCACACAUCGCACAUGCUUCUCCUUUAACUCAGCGUACUAGAAACUUGUCACUUCACUUUGUACCAUGAUUAUCGCAAUGAGUUCUUGAACUUGCAUGGAAUUCGGCCACAAGAUAAGAUUGCCAUAGCAUGGAAUUCCAUAUUAAAGCGAGAAACUCCGUUUUUAUCAAGAUUCUUUUGGACUGAUGCUAAAGUUGGCAUGUUUUGGAGGUAUUCUACUUUCUGAUUUGAGCCUUCCAGGUGCUCACAGAACCCUCAAUUUGAUUAUUGGUGUUUAGCUUGCAAGGACAUGUCAAGAAAGAUAAGGUCAUAAAAAAAAACAACUAUUAUCUUCAUCAUUACAUCCCAAAGAAAAUUGGACUGCCUUACUGUUCACUGAACUUUAUGCAAACCCUCGUACAUGAAUUUAUAGUAAGACUCACUUUGAUUCGCUAAUUUGAUCAUUAAAAGAGAGUGUUUGGAAUGAAAUUGAAUCAAAUUAAUUUGAUUUAUUUUGUUAUAAUUUUUUCACACUAGAAAAUAAAUUGAACAUGAAUUUGAGAUUUAUCUUUUUCAUUAGCUUUUUCCAUCAAGUGUUAAAUCAUAUACAUUAACUUGAAGUGUAUAUUUAAUCUUUUGUUUGACUUACUACUUAUUAGAAUGUUAGGUAGAUUUCAAAUUGAAAUUUUGGUUGUUUAUUGCAUGCGUAAUUUAUUUGACCUAAAAAAAAAAAUAAUUAUAGCUUGCGUAAGUUGACCCAUGAUCCCCACAAAGUCCUAUGAAAGGACUUGUAGCCAGAGGAAGGUGAAGACAAGUUUGACUAUGCAGUCUUGUCUCGUUUCAAAUUUACGGCUUUUGACUUGUCGUGACAAUUAUCUUCUUUCUUUGCCCUCGUAUAUCGUCCCUCUUUUUUUUUGGAAUAAAUAAAUAAAAAAGUUGUUUGCCCACAAAAUUUGAAGGUUAAUAAAUAAUUUGUUAUCAUGACAUUUGAAUUUUGGACCUUAAUUAGUCUAGACUAUUUCCAAUAAAAUAUAAGCAAAUCAUUCCGUCACGAAUCAUUGAUUGAAGUUCACUCAUAAAAAAUGUGAGUAUGCACCCAAAAUUUCUCCGGUUGAGAAAUGCUUCGAUUUGAAUAUGGCAUUACCAUUUUCAAACAAAGUGUAGCCAAUCAAUUUGUGGAGGCUCAGUUGAUGCACCAAGGCUUUUAGUUAUUUGCCAUUCUUAAUGUUAGUUACCUUUGUUGUCUUUCUUGCAUAAGAUCAAGAAAAGAUGGCUGUGAUAAGGGUGAAAAUCACAUCGAAUCAACUCAGGAGCUAGACCACACUAGCAUGAAACCACUGGUUAGAGGCCUAGUAUAGGAAUAGCUGGUUUGGUUUCCUAGAACCGGUCUAGGACCGGCUCAAUCACCAAUUCCAAGGCGAGAACCACUAGUUCUACUUGGGAAUCAAUUCAACUAGUUCAAUUCCUAAAUUGGAUGAAUUCUAAACCAAUUUUGAAGUUUCGUUUAGAAAAAAAAAUUGAAACACAUCAAUAAUUGAGUCAUGAUUUUUAACAUGAGCAAAGAUGAUGAUCACUUGACCAACGAAUGCUACUGAAAUAAAAUGGUACAACUUGUGUGUAUGUGUGUGUGUGUGUCUCUCUCUAUAUAUAUAUCAUAAGAAUUUGCCUUUUUAAUUAAAGUGGGACGGUACCUGACCUUAAAAGGCGGUUCAAUCUGAUUGGAACGAGCACACAUCUGUCCAAAAAUCUCUUAAAGCGUGGCAAUCGCAUCUUUUUCAUCAUUCGCUGAUGCUUGACAAGAUAAAAAUGUGCUGACUACAGUGGCGGGGCAGAAAUUCCAAUCGCUGAACAAGAGGCUCUCUUUGUCUCAUUGUCACAUGGGUUAAGAAAGAUCCGAGCCCCAGCAUGAUAUCAAAACGUGUCCGACUGUUUCUUUGUCCUGAUCUUUUCCUUUUGAUUUGUAAACAUGAGGCAGACGCAGUUGACAAAAAGUUUUCUUGUGGAUUGUUUAUAUAAUUAGGAUUCCAACCAGCAGGUUCAGGACAAUAUUUCACAUCUCAAAUGCUUCAUUUAGGUUACGGCGACUUCAAUUUCCACCCGCUGAAGCUUUGCAAAUUAACUUCCAUAUGCACAAAUGUGGAGCUUUGUCUUUUUCACGAGCGGCUAUCUAUCGAGACGCGAGCAUGUUUACAUUAUUUAUGGAAUAAUCACGCGUCAUGCGCCUGACUAGAAACUAAUAACAAAGAUCAUACUUUACAGAGAACACGACAGGAGGGGCAAAAAAGAACAAAGACAAUAGUUGAUUCUUUAUCAUCUAAUCCUAAUCAUAGAGAGUGCCUUGUCAAGAUUCUUGGCCUUCAUCUGAACGUAAUCCUUCACCGUGAUGGACCGGAACCGAGCAGCGUCCUCUUGGCCUGAGGUCUGUGUGAGUCCAUGAAUAGGGCCGACGUGAAAAUCCGUCGGGGGUCCGUAAAAGUAACCGACGGUUAGCCGGUGCGUAUUCUCACUUGGGAUCACCCGGUGAACGACACUAGGGAACAUGGCAUUGGACAUGAUGUGGAGCAUGUCACCCACGUUCACCACAAGUGCACCGUUCAUGGGAAACACGGGAACCCAGCCUCGGCCUUCCCUGUGGACUUGGAGCCCAUGUGCGCUGUGGUUUUGGUGAAGAAUUGUCAAGAGCAAGGUAUCGGUGUGCGGCGCGAGUCCCAUGGCCUGGCCUGGAUCGGGACACCGUGGGUACGAGUUCAGCUGCAGCGCAGUGCAGGCGUUGCUCCGGAGCCGCGGCCAGUCGACAUCGUGCUCAGAUAUGCCGAGGUACUUCAGGAUCAUGGCGAGUAGUCUCUCUGAGAGCGCCUUCAUUUUGUCCUGAUAGUCUUCCAUUACUUCACUGUUGUACGUGACCCCAAGAAAACACGAGAGGACAAAAACAUAAUGAUGCCCAGUACAAGCAAGAUCAAUAAUGCCAACGAUACCAAGACAAGUCUAUUAAAUCUGCAUAAAACCAAGUUUUGUAAAUACAUUUUUGUAUUUAUAGCAUUAUUCAUAGUGGAAAUCACUCCUUCACUAAAAUAAGAAAGUAGUAUUGAGCAUAUUACAAGCUUUCGCUGGAAUUGGCUUAUUAGAUCUGCAAAAGCGAUAAAAACCUACGAAUUUUUUGGCAUCACUCCGUAGUAAGCUUGAAUAACAAGUUCUCUAAUCUUUGAUACAUAUGCAGCUCCCUCCCCUCUUUUAGCUCUUUGAUUUUCAGGUUCACUAGAAUCACAAAGUCGACUACUUUCUGGAGGAGUAUCUGAAUCUCUAGAAAGAAGGAAAGAAGACUGUUCAAUUUAGUAAUCAUGCAAGUAAGUAUAUAGGGAAAAAUAGGUAGCUAAUCUUUUUAAUUUGCCUUUGGUGCUAGAAUGGUAUUGAACUAGGUUCAGGAGUGAAGUAGAACACCAUAUUCCUCGCACUCAAAGAGUAAUUAUCUACUUAUUGGUUUAUAAAGACUUUUUAAAUUAUCACCAAAAUUUAAUGAGAGAUUUCUCCAGCCAAACCCUGGUUCUUCCUAGUCAUGCCUAAAUAAACCAUCUACCCACUCAUCACCUUCUCCACGUGCAUGAACUGACCAUGCAUGGAAGUUACCACUCACCAAAACUUGCGAUACCCAUGAGGCCAAACCUCCCUAGCAUGCUCCAAUGGCGAUCCCAUCAUGGUAAACCCUUCAUGCCACAUGAACUUGUUGAAGAACGGUGCGAUCCGAGCGACGCCAUAGCCUGUAGCUCCACUGGGGGACCUGAGGGCCUUUACCUUGGCUCUCGCGGGGAGCGUGAAAAACCGCCAGGCUUGCGACUCAAUCUCCCUCAGAAGACUUGAAGGGAUUCCGUGGUUAGUGACCUGGAAUAUGCCCAUAAUUUUGCAGGCAUGACCCGCCAUUUCGAUCGCAUCCGGGCUAUCAAGAUCGAUGGCUGGAAUUGAGAAGUGAUCGCCAUCUAAAUUGAACAUCCUCCUUGGAGACUCAUCGUCCGAUUGAGGCCAUGAAUGCGAUUGCGGCACUUCUUCAACAGAAUCAAAGUCUAUGGGGAUGAUGUGCUGAAGAUGGAGAGGUGUCUCUGUGUAGGCUUCAGAGAGAGUAGCCAUGAAAAGCUGGAAUUUGAAAGGAAAAUAGAAGCUAACAAGGAAAGAUAGGGUUCUUUAUAUGGUCUUCUUUCAUUAAUCAUAGAAGGUUAUAUAUAUGGACGCCCACUAAUGGAGUGAGUAUAUUAAUGUAAACAUCUGGUUCAAAUGUUAAUAGGGUUAAAAUGGGGCCGGCUGAUGGACAGAAGUGGUGUCUGGAUGUGGUUUUGGAAGGAUGUUGGGGAAGGUGGAAUAAGACAAAAUAGUGGGCAGAAAAAAAUUGAAGAAAUUGUGGCGUCUCAAUAAGACUCCAAACACUUUUCAGUGUUUACAUGACAAGGCUGUUUUUUCCUUUCUUUCCUCUCUUCUUUCUUUGCGCUCUCGUGUGGACGAUAAACACAUGCUUUGUCCACUAGUGGGAAAGAGAAAAUGGACCCACUUAAAGGGUCUAAUUGAAUAGAAAUACAGUACGAACUUGUUAUCUAUAUGAUAUGUACUGGAAAUUGGGCAGAAUUAAUCAUACUACAUAAACUAAUGUGUUGGACCAUGCACUUUUUCUAACAAAAUCCAAUACGGUCUUAAUUACUAUAUGUUGACUUGGGAUUGGAGUUAAUUUAGUGAAAGAAUUUAGGUAAUUUUUUUUUCAUAUGUAGUUACAUAAAGUACACAUAAGAUUAUAAUCAAGACGGGUCGAGAGUGGUGUUGAGGUACUUGUACUAGGAAUUCAAGGAUGGGACAGUUAUCAUUUUAGAGGAAAUUUCAAGGUGGGGUUGGUUGCCAUGCCAAACUGGUCGAGAGUUGACGUUGCUUCGCAAUGAUAGUUAUACUAGGUUGAAAUUGGUUAUUAUGCUUAAGUGAACUGUAUAUCUCAUUCAAGAAAAUGAAUACCCAAGCUAAAUUGGGCAUGGUAUGAUCAAUUAUGAGGAUGUUAUUUGACAUAUUGUACUUGAAAAGAAUCUAUUGAGGGAAGGUUGGCUUGAUAAUCAGACUCACCAAGCACUAUAGGGCUUGUCUUUGAUGAGGAAACUUUGGGCCUGACAAACAGUAUCAGAGUGGGUUUCCCAAACUGUAUGGCGAGUGUUGAGAAGAGAUCUAUUGUCAUGUUUCCAACAAGAAGAGUCCAUUGGUUUGCUAAGAUUAGGAGAAGCCUAGUAGGCAAAAGAAAGUUUUGCUGAGGGAGCAUAGUUGGCUUGAGAUGCCACACUUUUCAAGGAGAGCACAAGUAACUAAAGAUUUAGGAAUAACUUUGAUCAAGGGAAGCAACUGAUGGAGUGGAAUAGCUUGUUUUGUUGUGCAAGCAUUUGCCAUUCAUGUGAGUUUGAAGGAAGUGAUGGUGAUGGUUAAAGAACAUAAGGAAGUGAUUGAAUAGCUUGCAAUGAGGGCUUUUUAGAAAUUGAGUGGGCAAAGUGUCACUGUCCUAAUUCUCCCAUACUGAUGUGAGUUGGAAGUGGGUUUAGUGGCAUUGGGUUGAAGCAUGAGAAAUGCAAGAGGUACAACUUGUUUGUGGGAGUAGCAUCAAAUUGUUUGUGCCAGGAAUCCAAAGAAGGUAUGACCAUCAUCUUGAAGGAUCUUUGUAGAUGGGUUGGCCUCUCAUUUGUAACUGGUCAUGAGCUAAUGUCAUGCUUCUAAUGAUGGCCAUGACAAAGAUCCUUAAUCUCACUUGAGAGAUUGGAUGUACAAGUUAAAUUGGAUGUAGUACCAUCAAUUGUGAGCUUAGGAUUUGCCAAAUUGUCUAGGUUGAGUUGGUGUUUUGGCUCAUAAGGUGCUAUAGGGGUUUGUGCUCAGCCAAGAAACUUUCGACCCGUGACACAAGUGUGAGAAAAUGACGACUGGUGAUGGAUUAGGAUUACUCCCUUAGUAUCAUGUGAAUGGACCAACAACUCAAUCAGUUCCUAGAGGCACCACACUAGGGCAACAUAUUCAUGUGCAUACAUAUUUCAUAUUAAUUUGAGACCAACGUUUAACUUUUACAGUCAAUCGUCAACGAAAUAUAUGAAAUUUAUUCUGCACACCCAGUAGCUUUGAUAGUCCCUUAAUAUUUUGAAAAUGAGCAAAAUCAAAUUGUAAGUUCUGAAAAUAUACGAGGAAAUUAUACAGGGUUAAUAUUAUGAAAUGCCCUACCAAACUAAUUUUUUGACCACUAAAGACCCAAAAAUGGUACACUUAUGACAAAUUACUGUCAGUUAGUUUCUAUUAAAUUUUAUCAUCAAAUUGAUAAGUUGAAUGAUAUAUGGUAGUUAACAAGUAUACUAAUUUAUAGGUUUUACUCUUUGUUUAUUACAUGUAUAUCAGUUUGUGAUUUUUCAUGAUAUUAUAUCUAAAGGAGAGUAAAUUUGUUACAAAUAUACUAGUUCAAGGUUUUUGGUAGUCAAAAAAUUAAUGCAGAGUAAAUUACAGGUGUACCAAUUUGGGUUUUUCGUGAUAUUAAAAAAGUCAUACACGGUAUAUUAUGAACAACCCUUUGAAACUAAUUUUGUAAUCACUAAAAAUCCCAAAUUGGUAUACAUGUGGUAAAUUUAAUGCUAGUUAGUUUUCGUUAAAUUUUAGCAUCGAAUUACUAAGUUGAAUAACACGUGAUAAUUGACAGGUGUAUCAAUUUGGGGUUUUACCCUUUGUUUAUUAUUGUAUACUAAUUUGUAAUUUUUUUUCAUAUUAAUCCAAUUUAACAAAAACUAACGAAGAGUAAAUUUCUCAACCAAUGUACAAGUUCGAUUUUUUCUUUGUGGUAAAAAAAUUAACCUUUGGUAAAUUUAUUAUAGGUGUACCACUUUAGGAUUUUUCAUAAUAAUAACCCAAUUGAUACAAAAUGUUGAUUUUUGUACAUUUUGAAUGAUUUGAGAUGUUUCGCCUUAGAUUAAAGUCAAAUUGCGUGAGUAGUACUAGGAGUCAUUCGAUUAAGCAACGUGCAUAUAGGGGUAAUCUGCACAGUUCUAUAUGCUGGCCGAUUUCUCUUGGUAUAACAAGUACUCUUCAGUUUUCAACUAAAUUUUUGGUACUUGUACAUAUAUAUUUAUUUAUUUAUUCCAUUAUCAACCCACCCAAUUUUACUUGUGCUAUAUUGAAAUUAGGUGAAAUAUGGGGAAAGUGUAACUGAGACCAAAUGAUCCGUUCUCUUAUGCUGAAGGCACAUAGAGUGCGUUUGGGAGAAUUUUAGGUUUAUGACUUUUAGUAUCAGAACAAAAUUCUUGGAUUCAAGGUGUUCCAAAAAUAAAAAUAAAAAAUUCAAAUAGUGUUUGAAUAGUUGGCUCUUGGUACAUUCCAGUAAAUCAGUUUUUUUUUAAUGAUCUAAAAUUACAGGAAAAGGAAUAAAAAAAAGAGAGGAAAGCAAUUAUUGCAACUUGAUGAAGGUCGUCUAGAGGCCAUGAGACCUGAGCAAGGCUCGUUGGGGUUGUGCAACCUCAGCCAAGGAGGCGCCGGGGUCGCUUGAACCAUGGUAAGAUAGAUCUCGUUUAGGUGAAGUUUGCCAGUGUUGAGCAACCCUUGGCAAAGCUUGCUAGUGUUGCUUUUGGUGGCAUCAUGCAACCCUUGUGCGAGGGGUUAAUAAAGGUUGCUGGACCUUGGCAAGGCACGUUGAGGCUGUGUGACCUUAGACAAGGCUGCUAUGUUAAUCGACCCAAGGUGAGACAGAUCUUGCUUGGCGAAGCUUGUUCACAUUGUGUGUCCAUAGGCAAGCUAGAUUUGGGGCCCGACAAGCUAGACUAGAGACCGGGAGACCUCGGGACGGCUCGUUAGGGGUGGGCAAACCCAGGCAAGGCAGCAUUGAGGUCGCUUGACCCAAGGUGAGGCAGAUCUCGUCUAAGCGAAGCUUGUCGGCAUGAAGCAACCGUUGACGAAGCUAUGUCGGUAUCUCUCUACCUCCUCUAGAAAACUUCCCAGUCAUGAUUGUCUGUCUCCAUCUAAGAAACACGAGUAAAAUAAGAAUAUCAAUAUAUUAGUGUGGGUAAAAUUGAAAGAAGAAAAGUCGAUUCAACCCAUAUAGUAGCAUUCCAAAAAUGAUAAAGUCCAAAGUUGGGGAAAGGUGGGCUUUUGCCGUGAGCCUUGAGCAUAUUCAAAGCUCGACUUUGUACGAUUGUGUCACCUAAUUCGAUGGCCUCAAGAGGUCCAAAGUCACUUGUAAAUGCUGCGCCAAAUGUGUCCACAAAAAUUGACUUUUUAUUUCUUGAGGCGUGAAUAAAGAAGAAGUGGAAUUUUAAGGCUCAUUGCCUUCUUUUGAAAUUCAGAGAUGUCGCCGACGGCCAAGGUCAAGUUGGCACAUCAUGAUCUGACAAAGCGUUUUCCACUCCCAUUUGUAGGGCAUUAGAAAUUUCUUCAGCUUACCUAGAUAUUGCCCACGUUGCGGAAGAUUUUGCUUUUCUCCAGGCCUUUUUUUCCUUUCGUGAUACAUGCGGAUUUGAUUAUUCUAUGCAGAUUCGGGGAUCACCGUCAAGGGUAGAGUUUUGUCUAUUUAGAUUACUUAAGAGGUCUCCUAAUUAUGAUGAUUAUUCGAUCAUGGUAGGAUGAGGAAACUGCCGUGACACAAUGAGAUUCGUUGGGUGCUCUAAAAGAACUCAACAAUUGACAUUAAGAAUUAAAAAAAGUAAGAAAAGCGGAGAAAACAUUCCUUUCAUUGACAGCUGUGAUAGAAUUUGUUUUUCUCUUUUGAGCUCAUUCCGACAAGUCUAUUGACUCUAGUAAUUAUCGAAUUUCAAUAUGACGAAAGAAUUUAUUGUGCCCAAAAAGAUUAGUUGCAAUCUCCAAAAAAAAGAAAAAAAUAGGCCAACAAUCGAGAUUAUAAAAAAAAAAGCAGGGUAAUUUUCAUUCGCCAACAUUAAGUCUGAUGUAGAUCCUCUAGUUGGAGCUUUCCAACCCAAGUUAUAGAACUUGAACCACAAAGUUUUGAAGCAUAGACCGAUCCACACGCUUCCUCCCUACAUCAGAAAUUCCUUUCCACGCGGGUCGUGAUGACCAAGCAAUUCCUUUACGCACACAGUAAGGCCACAUUGACCAAAUUGCAUUAUUGUGGAUUCAUCCUGAGAUUCUUUCUUCCCUCAUAACUCGAUCUAGCAUUGUCAUCGAAUUAAUUUUUUAAUUUUUUGUGGGAUCACUGCCUGUGAUAUGAUUUAAUAUAUAAAUAUUCUAUCACUUCUCUUCAUGCUUAGUUUGAUGUUUUUGCUUAGUACCAAGUGAGGAAAUAUUUCGUUGAGGAGACAAAUGAGGCCUUGAAAAGAUUCAAACUUGGGGCCUUUUGCUUUGAUAUAAUGUAAAAUUUCGUGAGAGCACCGUCAAGUAUUCUAAAGAAGUUAAGUUAUAGUGUGGUUUAAUAUUUAAAUAUCCAAUAAAAUUUUAUUAAUUACGAAAAAUAGAAAAAACUUUGAGUUAUAGAGACAAUAAAUUAUUGAAAUUUCUUCUUGCCAAAAAAAAAUUAUUGAAAUUUCUAAGACUUCCACUUGCAUCGAGUAGAUAAUAACAUUUCGUAGGCUCAUUUUGAUUGACUAUAUCAAUUACACUUGGAGAUAAAAAAAAACAAAAAACUUCAAGAUAUAGGUAGGAUGAUGUGGCCAAAGGCUUUGUAUAAAAAAUUGGACUUCAAAGUGAUAGAGCAAGAAAGGUGCUGAGAUAACAGUGCGAUAUUCGACUUCGAUACAGAAUCGAAUUUGACCUCGUUAUAGAAGUCGGUAAAGGAGUGGUAAAAGACAUCAAGGAAACAUUGAUGGUUCAUGUUGCUUCGUUGGUCAAGUUGCCCAUAUUCUAACAACGCCACUCGACAAGUGUGAGGAGUGAUUGCUAGAAUAAGAGAGCUCGGAUAAAGAGCAAUGAGCAUCUCCUAGCAAUCUUUUAGCAAGAGUGAAUUGAAUUUCGUACCGAACAUGAGGAGAGCAUUCUUGAAAUAUAUAUAUGAAAUUGAAAUUAACUUUAAAAAGAUGCCUUUUAAUGUUACGAAACUUUUAGCAUUAGAACUCUAAUGUUAAUAGUGCUGAGGUGAGAAUACUAUGAGGGAAAAGUACUACUGAGAUGAGUAACCUCCUAGAAAAGUGCCUAUUAUUAGAUUAUUAAUUCACUCAUUCAAAUAAUAGUAUAAGCUUUUUAAAUAAUUAGUAAUGAUUCCACAAAAUCCGACAUAGUACCAGAGUAGAAAGUCCCAAGUUCAAUGUUACAAGGCUCCUAUUUGCGAUGUUUAGGCCAAAAUACAAGCAUAUGAGUGAGUGUUAGAAUAUGUAAAAGAUCAAAUAUCGCAUUCAUUUAAUAACUUAAAAUUUUAAAAUAGUUUAUAAUGGUUUCACAAAAUCUCACACCUACAUACAAAACCGUGAAGUUCGAUAUGGGAUGGAUAAAAAAUAAACAAUAUCUCAGGUAAGUGAAUCCAAGGGUGCCACCCAAAUUGAUAAAACAAUACACUGAUUAAAGAGCAUAUUGGGCAAAUGCAAUAUAAGCACAUGCUCAUAAGCUUAUCAAGGGCACCUAGCAGUCAACGAUCAAUAAUGUAAUGGUUACGACACUUGGCCCCACUUGUAGCCAAUGGCAAUCAAACAAAAUCAACUAUAAAAUUAAAUAGAGAAGAACUCAAGUGAAUUCUUGAAGCCUCACAUAAUCUCACCAACUCAAAAUAAAAUUCUCUCUUUUCUUAUGAUGAAUAGACUCAAGUAUCGGAAGGCCUUUAGGUCAUUAACAAUUCUUUAAACGAUCAAGAAGCUCCGGAGGACCGAAAUUUAAUCUCCGAUUUCGUCAAAUGAAAAAUGCGGAAUUCACAUUGAAUUACCAAUUAAAGAUAGAGGCAACAUAUUAUAGUAUAGUAAUUAAAUUUAUAUAUUACCUCAACAGUGAAUUUAGCCUAAACAAUAGCUUCUAUUACUCGCUAUCAAGGCAGAUGAUGGCAAAAAUGUUCUUGGGUGGCAAUUCUCAAUUGUCGGCAUAAACGCAACUAGUGGAAAAGCCUCAAGGAAAGGCGGGGCGGAUGCGCUCUUUAGUCACAUAUCAGCUUGACUUUAAGGACAAUUGACCUUUGCCCCAGAUGAGCUCUAGCAUCAUAGACCUAAUGAAGAGCUAGUCCUUGAUUUUUAUACGCAAGAGUUGGAUCCCCUUUUUUAUAAUUUAUUUUUUGGUAAAAUUCAAAUAUUGGACAUUCGGUUUCAAUUUCUUUCUUGAAAAAGUUGGUCAACACCACUUCUGUCACAUCUUCUACUCUUUCAUCAUUUUACUUAACCCCACCCAGCAAAAGCGAAGAAAGACGAGAUUGAGGAAUGAGUGGUUCUUGAAUGUGCUCGACACUGAAAGAUUGAUACAAUGUAAGAAUCGGAGAGCCUGGGAAAGCAUUCAAGUUGGGCUUCUCUUGCUCUGGCUACUUAUUAAAUUUUGUUUUUAUGCAGAUUUCAAGUUGCUUAGAUAGGCUUAGGGUGCGCAUGACAAUCAUUCUGUUUCAGAUUUAGUUUAUGAAACAGAGAUAAAUUUUUCUAUUUUUAUUUUUAUUUUUAAAAGAGUUUCUAAGCAAAAAUAACCGAUUAAUAAUGACACAAAAUUUAUACUUUAAAAAUAUAAAUUCGUUUGAUAACGACACAAAUUUUUUUCCUUUCGGAUGACGGCGGACCAGCGGAUGGCGGCGGUGGCCGGCGAUUGGUGACUGGCGACCGGCGGCGGCGGGCGACCGACGGCAAGCGAUUGGCGACCGACGAUCGGCGGUGGUGGAGGGCGGCGGGCGGUGGCGGUAGGUGAUUGGCGGCCGACAACCAGCGGUGGUGGCUGGCAAUCGGCGGCAGUGGCGAGGGCCGGCGGUCGGCAUGUGAUCGAUGGACAAUGGUUGGCGGCAACGUAUGAAGGACCGGUUGACGAACGAUGAGAAAUUUUUUUAUUUUUCACAACUGUUCCAGAAAUAGAGAAGUAGAAAAUUUUAACUUCUAAUUUCUAUUCAAAACCUAUUUUUGGAAUAUAAAUAUAUUUUAGAAAUAGAAAAACGAAAUAAGUUUAUCAAUUAGAUUUCUAUUCCAGAAACAGGUUUGGAAUAGAAAAAUUGUUUCUGCAAUAAAAAUUAUGGUUUGUCAUGCACCCCUUAGUGACUGGGCCACUUUAAGGUGGCUUGAAGUCCAACAAAUGUGAAGGUGGUUUCCGGGAAGAAUGACUUGAGAAAAUACUUUUGGAGUUAGACGAUGAAUUCGACUUUAAGUACUUGCGGCCUUUUUUUUUCCUUCCUCGUUUGGGUGUACCUGGGUAGGUGGUGCGUUUGUCGGCUUUCGCGCACCUCAAUUGGUCUACAUCCCGUAAAUAUUGAUCCGUGGAAGGGUUGAGUUUCGCAUGCUGCACGCACAGACCACAUUUCAUAAGCUGCAUAUUCGUGUUCAGAGCAUAGUGACAGAGACGUCAUGCUCAGAUUCGAGACGACCUUUGCCCAGAUCUUACUUAUGAUGUUUUCAUGUAUUAUGCUGACACUUACUCUUGUUUUGGUGGCAUAAGGAGUAGCAUUUCUACAAUUAAGACCAUCAUGCUUGAUAUGAGUCUCUCUCAUCAUCAUAUUCAUGCACCACACAUAUUCUGUCCCACAUUACACAAUUUAGUCGAGCGAGAUCCGAAGCGUCCUUAUUGGAAUUGUGAGACAUAGAAAAGUUCAAAGAAAAAAUAUUUUCUAUUUUAUGGUUACGUCGUACAUUAUUAUAUGUAAGGAACAUUAUUUUGAAUUUCUACGGCAAACUAAACUAGAGGGAGAUUCAUGUAAUGUUAGACUUAGCUGAAGAUUUACAAAAAAAAAAGUUUGUUCUUGAAGAAAAUGAACAUUAAAAAUGAGGAAAUGGAAGGAGAUGAACAUUGAAAAAGGAAAAGAGAGAGAGAGAGAAAAAGAAAAUUUAAGAAGAUUCAGCACAGUACAUGAAAUGGCCUGUUUUGUUUGAGUUCUUUCAAGUUAAACACUGCAUGUGUCACGUAAAAUGGCAAACGAUGGCUGAAUUGUUGCCAUGCCAGUAUUUUCAAGCAAAAAUUGAUUGGAAUGACCAAAUUGAGAUUUCACUAAAAUGUUCACGACUACAUUGGAAAAUUUGAAAAUUUAGAACUAUAUUGAUAUCCGUAGGUUUAGACUUGAUUUAGUAUUAUACUCCUAUAACGGUACUUUGUAAGUAUAACACAACCUUCCUACAAUGUUGUCCCAUCAAAUAUGGGACCUGAAAAUCUUGAUUGCCCUAGCGAUGUAAAUGCAAUAGUUUUUUUAGCAGCUUGGGAACAUUUUGAAGAAAAAGCUUCGUAAAGACACAGGUUUCUUGAAACCAACUUUCCAUAGUUGCGGAAAGUAACAAUAUGAGACGGUCCCAAUAGCUCGGUUGCAUGAAGGUUUUAGCACUAACUUUUCUCCAACUACGGAUGGCAUACACUAAGGAGGAGAGGAGGGCCGAUUGAAGGGGCCAAGAUAGACAGGAAAGCGAUCUCGCUGAUCCUCCAACAUUUGGUCCAUCACUGCAAUUUAAUGCGAACAACUUUGGAAAGAAAAACGGAUGUAAAGAGGCCAAAUGUGACAAGGAAGCCACGUCAAGAUUAACAUUGAGGCUUUGUUCGUAUGAGUUGGGCCUAGUAUGGUUUGCCACAUUCGCAUUGCAUGGAAAUAGGUCAAUCUAGGCCGGAUUAUUAUUAUUAUUUUUUCUGACCCGACCCGACCCGGCCCGACCCGACCCGACCCAUCCAUUUUAAUAGGCUUAUUGCUUCAUAUAAUUUGGUAUCCAUUUCAAGGACUUAUAGAAUACAGUGAUUAACUCUUAUCGCAACUCGUCUGAUGGAUGGCGUUGAUGGAGUUAUAGCACCAGAAACAAAAAGCAACCCCAGAAAAAGAGAGACAGAAAAAUCUCUGUUGAGCAAAUGAAUACAAAUCCCUCGAGAUAUUAGGGCACUAGCCAUGACAACUAUGAAGAUGGGCAAGUCCACCGGGUCUCAACGUCUGAGAAGGAAAAGAGAGAGCAGUGCAGCCAAAUAGGCAAAAAUUAAUUAGGCGUUGAAGGAUCAUCAUCAUCGAACACAAGAUUAAGCUUUCAAGAAUUGGCGAGCUUAUCUUUGCAUUUACAACCGAUGCGGAUGCUCUUGUGUGUGAAUUUUCGACAAGAUUACGAAUUAACACACCAAUUCGAGCUUCUUUUAAAGAUUAAAAAUAGAGAAAAGUUUUCUUAGUAAAAGCUUAACUUAAUCGGGUCAGACAAUUCUGGGAUCUUACAUUGGCACGUGACUAUCACGUGCUUGCCGGACGGGAUGAUCUUAGCACCAGCGACGAGGUGGUGGCUCCGGGGCGGGGCGGGGCGGGGCUGGGCGGGGCAGGCCGGGGCCGCCGGGGGGGGGGGUUGUUGGUGGGGGUUCAAAUUGAAACGGGGUGUUUCAGAUCGGGGCCAUCUUGGAAAACGAAGUACCAUUUCGGGGGUUACUUCGGGAAAAGCCGUCAAAUUGGGGGGCCUCUUUCGAAAUUCUCUCGCUCCCUCUCUCCAGUCUCCGGUGACUCCGGUUCGGGGUCCCUCGCGGCCGAGCCUCAGCCACGAACCGAGCGGAAGCAACGUGAGCCACAAAAUCUUCCACGUACAAAAACUUCACCGGGAACCGAGGGAGGCCGGAAGGGAGGAAGGAUCGGCGGCGACAAUGGCUUCCCUGAACUUCGCCGCCGCCGGCCGGACGUGGCCUCCAACUUCGGAAACCGCCAGAAACCUUCGAAGCUCGUCCGCGGGAAGCUACUCGCUCUGUCGUUGAAUGCAGCGGGUUCGACGGAACCUUCGUCGGCCGCGCCAGAAAAGCCGGAGAUCGAGCUCGAGUUCAUCGGGGUAAUCACCCCGCGCCCCGACUGAUUAUCGUCAUGCGUUUUCGCCGGAUUCUGUAGUUUCGUAAAUGUAACUUGCUGCAAGUAGUCGCCAUGUUAGUCAGACAAAAUGCCGAUCUCCUGCAUGAAGAAACUUGCAUUGCUGAUGAUGAAACGCGGUUUCGAUGGCAGCCGAAGCCGGGGGCUGACGGUUCGUAUCCGGUGGAUAAGGCUAAGGCCGUAAGCGGAGAGAAGCUGCUGAGGAACAUCAUGAACGAGAACAAGAUCGAGCUCUAUGCCACGUAUGUAAGUUCGUUCUUAGAGCAAAUUUCUCGCCGAUUGAUUCGCUUUGUAUGUAAAGUAAGAUUCGGCCUCACUUAUCAUCAAUUUGAUAGUAUGAUUGGUUUCUCGAUGCAUUGUGAAUUUGCCUACUUUUUCUGGUUAAAUGUGGUGGUGAGUUUUGGGAUGCAUUAGAAGUGUUUGAUGAUAUUCUCUUCUCUGCAGGGGAAAGUGAUGAAUUGUGGAGGUGGUGGAAGCUGUGGAACUUGCAUUGUGGAGGUAUGUAUGUAUGGCUCGCUAGUUUGCUGUGCAGCUCUCGUAUUUUAGACAUGGAAUUAGGAUGCCAUAAUUUAUCGUCAUUGGAGGGAUAGUGAAGCUCGUGUGAGGAAGCGCACAGAUGUUUCCAGUUUCUCGACAUGGGAAAAAAAAAAAUCCAAUGUAGCUCAUUUGAGCUGAGAGUUCUCGAUUGUAUGCUUCGAAUAAUCCCAUGUCUAGAGCAACUUAACGAGAUGAAACAAUGAAGGACUGAGGGUUCGCGCGGUCUGAGUAAUAUAGAUGUGCAUUCUUAGAGCAAGAACUUUCAGGGAAAGAUGUUAAGAGUGCUUCCUUCAUGUGCAUGGUUCUCUUCCUAUUGCUGAGGCUUGCAGUCAUGUGUAGAGCUUAGAGACCAACUUGAGCUCCCUAGGCAUCCUACAAUUUGAGGCUUGCAGUCAUGUGUAGAAAACUAUCGGAUGAUUGAAACUUGUCCUGUUGGGCAGAUUAUUGAUGGGAAGGAUCUCCUAAAUGAGAGAACCAAUACUGAACUGCAAUAUUUGAAGAAAGUAAGCUCUCUCUCUCUCUCUCUCUCCCCUGUUGUUAGUCCAACGGAUGCAGGUUAUAACCUUGAUAAUCAAGUUGUUCUAACAAUGGCUCCAACUGCCAGAAACCUGAAUCCUGGAGACUUGCUUGUCAGACUAUUGUGGGGAAUAAAGAAAACUCUGGAAAGGUAAAGCGCCAUGAUCUUUACUGUCCUCUAGUUGCUAGAAAGCAUAUUUGCAAUUUAAUUGAAAUCUGGAAGAAAGUAAGCUGUUUUUGUCACAAAUUAAGGUCCCUUUAUUUGAAGGAAAACUGUUUCCAAGAAAUUGUUUUCGAAUUUUCUGGUGUUUUGGAUGAUGAAAAACUAAUCAAUGUAUAGAAUUCAUUAUCUAUAGACUAAAAACAAGAAGCUUAGAUUGGGAGAAAAUGACUUCCUCUUUUAGUAAAAUGAAAGAAAUCACUUUCCUAAACCACCAAGUAAAUGAAAACUAACUAUUUUUGUUGAAAAUGAUUUUCAUGGAUACUAGUUUCCUUUAUAAUGAAGUUUUAAAGGCAACAAACGCAAUAUGAGAAUUGCUUUUCUUCUUGAGGACAUACAGGUCUGAACAAACAUCUCUGCUCAUGCAUUUCAAUUGCAGGUUGUGGUACGAAGAUUGCCCCAGUGGAAGAAGUGAUGGAGAACCAGACCUUGUAAAAGGAGAUGCGUCGUGACAGGCAGUAGACAUGCCGUUGCACUUGUAUUCCCAUGAUUUUUCAAGUCGAGAGCGACCUUGAUUGUGCACGCAUAGUUUUGUUACUGGUGCGAACUUUUAGUUUUCUAUGGAGAUAGAUGCAUGAAUAGAGAAGCAUGUAGAUGAUCGUUCCGAUGAAUCCUGAACGGUUGAUGGGGCAUCAAAGGAAACUCCAAUUGGCUAUUAUAUCACAUACCCUGUUCAGAAGCCUCAACUCUGAUAUCAAACUUGCCCGUCUACAUAAAACUGUUUUCCCUGAUGUCAAUUCCGAGCCAGCCUUCAUCUGUUUCUUUCCUUGUUAUUUGCAACAUCAUUGCUCCACCAUGCUUGACGGCUCAAAGCCCCGACGCCAUAGAUCAACGGUCAAGCCUGGAUCUGGAGGCUUGCUGCCUCCUUUGGAGAACGCGGAGGGAGGGAGCUGCAAAACGAAAGAACUAGCUAAUCAACUAGAGCUCUGGGGUUGAUGCGGUGGCCGGAAGUGGCGGGAGGGCGUCCAAAGAUGGUGGAAAAUAGCAAUAUAGUCUUUUUGUCCAUAAGGUUUUAUCUGAGGAUGUAACUGGAUACGUUGAAAAAUAGAUGAAAGAAAGUGGUAAUGGAGUAAGAAGUGAAGAAGAUAUUGGUAUGUUUCCUCCUCCUUGUUUUUCUUUUGUUUUUGGGCCAGACUGUAUUUUAGUGUUUGGUUAUAUUAUUUAUUAUUGUGAGCUAUAUUUGAUGAAUAAAAACCUUUUUUGGGAUGGUUCCAAGAAAAAUUAGCUCCUCUUGAUUUCUCGAUAUAGGUCCAAUAAUUUCAACCACAUUUUUUAGUUAUAUAAUACACUUGACAUAUUUGAAAAGAAAACUCUUUUAGAAUAUAUUUUCUGUCACGCCCCGAACCUCAAGCGCUCGUGCAUCCCUAAGUGAUCGAUCAAAUUGCGACGUUCCCAGGAUGCGUCGCGGACCCAAACAAUUCUUGCACACGCGGAAGCAAACUAUAACUCCGGAUGACAAUCAACAUGAGAUAAAAAAGUAGGGCAAUCAUAUAAAACAAACCACACUUUUAUAAACAUCUAGGUCAGCCUACAAAGUUAUAUACAAAAGUCAAAACCCCAAAAAGGGCUACCUAGCUAAUCCUACCUCGGACCCUAUCUACUUGGGAUCCAGGUUUAUCACGACACCGUUAGGGAUGUCGAUAUCAAGCAAAUCAACUACCUCCUCUACUGCAGGCUCCUCCACCACGGGCCCCUGGUUCGCCGCAUUAUCAGCUAUAAUGUCGGCAUGCACAACAGGGUCCAGUACCACCUCACCCUCACCCUCAAUGGUGGGUCCGUCGAAACCAUCCAUGGGACCUUCUCGUUUCCCGUUAGGCCUGUGAUGAAACCACACCUUGAAUCGAUGAGGUACCAGCUGUGGUAGGCCCUCAUCGACCAAGAUCGUGGUCACGACGAGCUUACGGAUCCAAGGAGUUCCGGGGAUAGGGAAAUCGGUACUCUGUUUGCUAUACCCUCGUGGUUGCCCAAAACGAACGGGACGGACUUUCAUCUAGGAACCUGUAAAGAUUACACCCACAACGGAGUGAGAUAAUGUCUCAGCAAGUCUAUGCCCUAAACCCCAAUUAGGAAUGUAAUACGCCUAGAGGCAGCCUAAGCACACAUCAAAGAAUACUUACCUCACAUUAGCACCCUCCCGCAUGUUAGCACAACUCAUAUAAUAGAUGCAUACAAUAAAUGCACUCAAUAAUUGAAACGCUUCACUUUCAUAUCUCAAUCAAUUACAUGAGUCCCGAUUAUAAGGCCAAUUCGUUAUGACACGUUCUAUUCCGUGCUACACAAUUUUGUCCCAUAAUCAGGCACGGUCAAAUCACUCAUUCAAGCGUUCCAAUUAGUUACGACCCAACGGCCAUAGUCGACUUAACAGUUAGCGGUCUUCUAGCAUAGCCGAGCACCGUCUCGCACCACCGAGCAUGGCAACGUCUACCUCUAGACGGCAUUCUUGAAAGAGCAUCAGUUUAGCCUCAACUGCGACCGGCAUUCGUUGACGUGGGGCAUUUCCGAAGGAGCAUUGUCUGGCUCAAAAGCUCGUGACGGGUUCUUAUAACGAUCAUACGCACAUCCAAUCCCAGCCAAGAACAUCAUGCUUUAUACUCAAAUGCCUCAAUUAAAAUAAUGUACUUGGCAUAUUUUCUUCAUAUUAAAAACACCCGGUAAAAUAAUCGUGUGUGGGUACACGGUCAGCUUGAGUCAUAAAAUGCGACACCCUCAACUUUUAAAAACCCCAAUAUUUGAUAUAGUACAUAAAAACAUUUUUGGCGUAAAAAACCAACACUCGGUAUUUUUCUAAUUAAAUACCAAAAAUCCAUAUUUUUAAAGUAAUAAAUCAAAAUUCAUCAAUCAACACUCAAUUUGCACAAACUAAUUGCAUCACGACAAUCAGCACGAAAUUCUAGCGACCAGCUAUCCAGGUAUAAUUUUAAAAAAUAAAUAAAUAAUUAAAUAAGUUACAAAAUAAUUAAAUAAAUCACUAAUUAAGCUAUAUACACUAAUCUAACCACCUAAUUAGAUUAAUUAAAUAAUGUACUAAGCUAAUUAAAUUACACAAUCUAAUUAACCCCUAACUAAACUAAUCUAAUCACCUAAUUAGCAUAAUUAACUAACUAAACCACUAAUUAUCAUAACUAAUCCUCCUAACCCAAUCUUAACCUAAACUAAUCAUCACAUAAGCAUAAUUAACCUUCUAAUUUAGGUUUAGCAAGUAACUCAUCGGAUUAGCAAGUCGGUGAGUUCACGGCAACGGCAAUGCGGAGGCGAGCGAGACUCGAGCUUACAGUGACACCUAACGAGUCCGGAAAGGCCCGGAAAAGGCCCACACAGCCUGUAGCCCGAACCAGAACUUCGAUUCUGUGGUUGGCUAGAAUAGCUGGACCGAGGGGUUAGGACGGUGCGGAAACGGGCACGGCAAGGCCGGGUGGGCAGGCGGAGGCAGCUGGUGGCUCGGAGAUGGCAAUGGGCAGCGGCCAAGCGAAGCUAUGAUGGUCGAGUAGCGCGGGACACGGCUGGAGGAGCUUAGACGCAUGCGAUGCAACAGCUGGCUCGGCGAACGAUUAGGACGGCGUGCGGCGAUCAACGAGUGAACAAGCGGGCUCGGGCGUGGCUUGGACGAUGACGAAGGGGUUGGUGGUUCAGCAAGGGGCUAAACUAGCUAUUGCUCUAGAAAUGGAAUCUAAAGAGAAGAGAAUGAAUAGGAAAACUGAGGGAGAAGAGGAAGAAGAAGCUACUGUUGGAUGUGGGGGGACAAGGAGCCCUCAAAGUUGAUGAUAGAUAUCUAAACACUUGAGUAGUUGCCCCCACCAGCCUUCAGCCCUAUCCAGUAGCCAUUUCCCUCCCAAAUCUUUCUAAGCAAGCCACUUAUGGGGUCCAAAAUGUUUCAGCCCCCUUGGCCUACUAAUUUUGUGCAAUCCUUCACCAAUUUCAAACCAAAUCUCUCAAAUUAAAUCCAAUUUGAUCUCCAAAAAUUUCAGCUAAGGUACCCAUAUCAAAUCUAUGAUUUUCCUCACCAAUUGAUCCCACUUGAAGGCUAAAAACGCACUCAAAUUGGCCCCUCCGAAUUUCCCGGUGUAAAAUCGUCCAAUUUCGAUUUUUCGCCGAAAAUCCAAACUUGCCGAAAAUUAUUUGAAGGAUAAGUCGACGUUCCUAAAAUAAUUGUAACAUGCCACAACUUUCGAUUUCUGAAAUCGAGUUCAAUUUCGUGGUUAAUUUCUACCGGAUGUGAUUUUAGCGUAAUCUAACCUAUUGGGUAACUUUUAGGAAUUUUUAGUUCAUUGACUCAUGGUUGAUUAUUUUCGAUCCACAUUGAGCAUCUUCGACACAUUGACGACUUUCGCUUGUCGUAAAAAUCUCGAGGUUUCACAUAUGAGCACAGGGUACAUAAAUGACAAAGAAAUCGGUUUAGUGGCGCUUGACAAGAAUUUUGCAAUCAAGUGGAAUCACCUACCAUUUAAUUAUAUGCCUCUGAUCUAUAAUUGAUUUUAACGGUGUUGUAUUGACCCUUGUAGAUUAGCACGGUUGAGCAGUCGAUUUCUGGUCAAAUUCUCAAGUUGGUUGCGUUUAAAUUCCUUAAUGACUUCACCUGAUAGAUUAGUUAUCUCGUGAGUGAUCAGCUCAGAGAAAAGAACUAUAGGCACAUCGAUGAAAAGCUCAUUUCAUUUAAUCAAAGGCAAGGUUGAAAAUCAAGAUGUCACAUUUUCUUUCAAAAGUAUGAAGUGUUUUCAUAUUUGAAAAUUGGAAUUUUGAUGUGUACUAUCAUUUCUCCGAACUUGAGGUGUGUUUGAUAUAGCUUUUUCAAAAGGCUUUCAACCUCCAAAACUUCUUGGGAAAAUGCUAAGGUGUUUAGCAAGUCUUUCAAAUAGUUUUGAACCAAAUGCUGACCUUGAGAAUGCUAAAAGCUCAAGGCAAGUAGGGACUAGCCUUUUAUAAAUUGCAUUUGUGAAAUGCUGAAACUAGAGUUAAACAUCUUUUUUCCAAAUCUAACCUCACCAAUUCUUUAGUUUUCUGAUUUUGCCCCUCAUUGCUACUACUCAUCUUCUUUACGAGGACAUUUGGGUAGGGCCAAUGAGGUCAAAUCUAACCAGUGAAGGGCCAGCGAGAUUGCGUGACCCAUGUGAUGGCUACCUGGGAUUGUGUGACCUAGGCGAGGGAUGAUUGGGUCGCGAGACCCUAGGCGACGGUCGUUUGGGUCGCACAAACUCAUGACUUGUCGCUUGGGGGUUGUGAGACCCCAAGCAAUGGUCACCUAGGUCACAUGACCUCAAGCUUUGUCAUCCGGGGUCACACUACCCUAGGCAGCCCUCCACAAGGUCAUGCGAUCCAAUUUAUGGCCACUUGAGGUCACAUGAUUCCAAGUGGUCCUCAUUGAGGUUGCAUAACCUAAGCGAUGGCUGCCUAACGCUUAAGCUUUCUGACCAAAAAAAAAAAAAAAAAAAAAGGCCUAAGCUUGUGUGACCCUAGGUAGCCCUCGCCUGGGUCGUGUGACCCUCGCCUGACUUUGAUUGUCAAUUGCCGGCACCAAAUCUAGCUUGCCGAUGGCCUAAACCUUCCCUAAUCAAAAUAAGAAGAAAAAUUAUAGCUAAAGUCCUUUGCAUUUUUUUUUAAUUCAAACACUACUUCACUCAAAGUUGCAAUGCAAAUGAGUUUUUAUUUAAAGUAAUUUGCAUUUCUCCAUAUGGUUUUGUCUUUUAGCAUCGGCAUUACACCCAAAACCCAUUUUUAAAGUUGAACCAAACUCACCUGUUUGCAUCUCAUGGGAUAUGGUGUUGGGCUACUUAGUUGUUCACCUCGUGGAAUGUUGCGCCUGAUAAUAAGAAGAUUUAUCUUACAAGUUCAUUGCCUACAUUGGACACAAGCACAAAAUAAAUUAGAUGAACUCUUCAACCUCCAGCGUUUACUAAAAAAUUGUAAGAGUUCUCGUUAAUUUUUAAGAUAAUUUAUAAUAAGUGGUGAUCAUGUUCACAUUAUUUACUAGGAUAAAUUAUGUUUGUGGCUUUUCGUUCCUAACAAGUCUAGGUUUGCCUUCUUCCCAUUGAUUUUUUUCAAAUUUUGCAUUAAGCAUGUUCAUAAUCACAAGGCUAGCUGUAAAGCUGGUUUUGGUCUAUGAUGACAUACAAAAAGGUAAAAACAUCCAAGAACAAAUUUGUUGGAAAUUUCUUGAGAGAUAUCGGUCACUUUUUUCUAAUAAAUUGUUCUAGUUAGAGGCCUUUGGCAAAUAAUGAUCAAUUAGUUUUACCUAAAAAAUUGUUGAUUGGAAAAUUAGAACUGCCAUACUGUGUGGUGAAAAGUUGAGAAAACAUAGAUGAGGUAUUCUCACUUGUUCAGUGUCUUGCCAGAUGGAUCCUUUAUACUUGCAGAUGAAAAUAUUAAUGUGGGGAGGGCUGAAGAGAGAGAUGAGACUCCUGAUUGUGCAUUUAGCUGUCUCCUCUAUUGUAAAUCUCAAAUCCACUUCAUAGGAUUUUCAGCACUCAUUUAAAUCUGUGAUCCUAAGUAGCUAUUAAGAUAACGUGGUCCAUAACCUUUGGGAUGGUAUUGCCUUGUUGCCUAAAGGGAUGGGGAACUAGUUCUGGUGGCACGAGAGACUCUUCUCUUCAUUUAAAUUCCAGGAUGACAGGAUGCCUAUGGUUUGCCUUGCUUGUGUCUUCUCCAGUUUCAAACUAUAACUGCCUGCUCCGAUUCAUCUUUUAGUUCUAGUCGUCUACCGAUAAAUUUAAUCUUCAGGAUGAUGAGUGCAGAGAGGAGCCAUUUAAUUUGAUGAUAGGUAUUUCCCUUUGGGAGGAAUGCAAAUAUGAACAAAGAAAUGCAGCCCAAACACAACUGAAGGAUCCACUGCCUGAAUUAUGCGAGAAAGAGCUAAAGCAUUAGACAUGUCGACAGGGAUACUCCCAUCCCCAAGGCUCUCUUUUAAACAGGAGCAAAAGCGAACUGUUCGUGCAAAUGCCAAGAAAUCAGUAUCAGACGAGAACAAAAGCAACUAUGGUAGGAAAAGCUGGCAAGUAGCACAAAAAGAGAGCAGUACUCAAAGAUGUCACUAACAUCUUUUGUGAGAAUUCAUACUUGAAGCGUGUCGAUAUUACCAAUGCUCAGGUUAGUGCAAGGCAUUCUUCUUAAGUGACUCUGUUCUUCAUAUGGGGAGUCCGUAUUUGUCAUGAGGUCUUGGCUGGUUAUCUGUUUAUAUUCCCAGCAAUUUAAAGAAGUGGAGCAUUGUACAAGAUGGACCUGAGGAUGCUUUGUCCGUUCUUCAAAGGCUGUCUGUUUUGAGUUGAUGCGAUGGCUCAUUUUAUGUCCAGCAUAUACACUUUCAGCUAGCUAUACCUUCAAAGUCUGUUGACUGUGGUUGCUGAUUGGCAGACCAGCAAGCAAGGUAGAAAGCUGUCUUUGAAGGACACAAAUGCGCAUCAAAGAGGAGCUGUCCAAAUAAUUCAGUAGGAUGUCACAUCGGAAUAUGUAGAAGAGCUGUCGAAAAUAAAAGUGGCAAAGUCUAUACAAAUUGCCAUCCCAGACAAAUGGGCAAAAUGAGAAAAUUCAGGGUAUAGUAUCGGUUUGAGGGAUGUGGUAGCAGAGUAUUCAAGAAUACCGCCAGAUAAUUGUCUAAGAACUCAGGAAGAAGGCUGAUUCUUGUUUAGGGUAAACUAUGAGAAUUAUUUGUCCGAUGAAAAGAUGUUUCCUCAUUCUAACAAUGAAGUACAACUUUUCUAGCCUAAUUCAAUUUGCUGGAUAUAUAUACAGUCGGCAGCUUUCAAUAAAAAUCCUUGACUUAUAUAAUUGGUGUCUCUCUUAUAGAGUUUUGAUAGGUUCCGAUGAUGCUUCCUUAGGUUCCUUUUCUUAUACAAAUCUAUUUUCCAGCAGCAUGCCCUAUCCUACCUUAGUUCCAUAAUAGUCCAUGAUGAUGCCCACGGUUUUAAAACUAUACCAAAGGAAUAAUAGCGAAUUAAUCUUUCUUUACUUUUUGUCUCCAUAACUGUUGUUACUGAUCAAAACAGUAAACAAGAAAAUAGAAAACCAGAAGCUAUAUUUUUCAUAUGAGGAAGAGAAGCGCAGAGAAACAGAACACAAACUUGCAUACGUCUGUUCUAAAGGAAACUGUCAAGUACAGAACAACUUAAACAAAGCAAAAACUGCUCACGUACGUGCAACACAUAACUGCACACAAACGUGCUAUUAACUUCCUAGAAAAUAACAAAAACACUAAAUAAAUAACUAAAUUGAACUUGGCUGUUUUUUAAUAAAAAAAAAGGAGUAAAACAGAGCAGAAAACAGAGUAAAAAAAAAAAGAGAACAAAACAGAAAACAGCAACUUGAGACAUUAUAAUCCAACAAACUCCUCCUUGGAUCAGUUGCUGCUGCAUACUCCAAUUUUCUUUCUUAAUACUUCAAAUCUUCCAGCUUGAAGUGGUUUUGUGAACAUGUCUGCAAGCUGAUCUUCAGAUUUGCAAUAGACCAACUUAACUUCGCCACUUUGUUGCACCUCACGCAGAAAGAAAAAUUUGACUUUGAAAUGCUUGGUUUUGCCAUGGAAAACUGGAUUCUGUGAUAUUGCUAAAGCAGCCUGAUUAUCCACAUUAACUUCAAUGCAAUCACUAGGAUUCAACCACAGAUCCUUCAUUAUCUUCUUCAGCCAUAAAGCUUGAUUUGCAGCUGUAGUAGCUGCUAUAAACUCAGCCUCUGCAGUAGACUGAGCUACAAUUUCUUGCUUUUUAGAACACCAAGAGAAACAAGCAGAACCAAGACUGAAACAAUACCCAGAUGUACUUUUCAUGUCAUCCACUGAACCAGCCCAGUCACUAUCAGAAAAUCCUUGCAAAUUAAACUUCUGACCUUUUUCAAACUUCACACCAAAGAACAAUGUUCCUUUGAGAUAUCUCAAGACCCUUUUUGCUGCAAUUAAAUGUAACUGACUAGGACUACUCAUAAACCUAGAUAAAACACUCACAGCAAAUAGAAUAUCUGGUCUGGUUGCUGUAAGAUACAUGAGACACCCAAUCAGACUUCUAUACAUAGAAGCAUCUACUGCAUCAGUUCCAUCAUUCUUCUGCAGCUUCUCUUUAGCAGCCAUAGGAGUGCUUACACUUCGACAAUCUUCCAUCUGAAACUUCUUUAGAAUUUCUUUCAUGUAUUUUUUCUGACAGAUGAAGAUCUCAUAUGAAGCCUGUUUGACUUCCAAACCCAAAACGUGACAUCUUUCCCNNNNNNNNNNNNNNNNNNNNNNNNNNNNNNNNNNNNNNNNNNNNNNNNNNNNNNNNNNNNNNNNNNNNNNNNNNNNNNNNNNNNNNNNNNNNNNNNNNNNACUAAUAGAUCAUCUACAUAAAGUGACAGAAUUACAACACUGUGAUUUACCUUUCUUGACAUAAAGAGUGAACUCACUUAAGCUUUUCACAAAGCUAAAAUCUUGCAAAUAUCGAUCUAUCUUCCCAUACUAAGCUCUUGGAGCCUGCUUCAGUCCAUAUAGAGCUUUCUUCAACCUGUAUACACUCUCUUCUUGCCCUUUGAUACUAAAGCCUUCAGGUUGUUCAACAAAAAUUUCCUCAUCAAGCUCUCCAUUCAGAAAUGCAGACUUGACAUCUAACUGAAAUAUAGGCCACCCCUUCUCUGCUGCAAUAGCUAACAGUAGCCUUAUUGUAUCAAGUCGUGCAACAGGAGCAAAUGUUUCAGAAUAGUCUACUCCCCAUAUUUGUGCAUAACCUUUCACCACCAGUCUAGCUUUGUGUUUAUUAACAGAACCAUCAGGAUUAAGUUUUGUUCUAAACACCCACUUAACCCCAAUCACAUUCUUAUCAGAUGGUCUGUCAACGAGCUCCCAUGUGUGGUUUUUCUGGAUCAUUGAAAUCUCCUCCUGCAUUGCUGCAAUCCACCUCUGAUCCUCCUUAGCUUCCACAAGGUUAGAUGGUUCGGGCAUUGCCACAUUGCUUCUUUCAUAGAUUUCAGCAAGUGACCUUGUGCCUCUCACUGGUAAAUCAUCAACACUGUAUUCCAAUCCAUCUAUAACUUUAUCAACUUCUACAUCUGUUGCAGGUUGUUUUUCGAACUGUUGCUGUUCUGCACUCUUUCCAUCCAUCCAAUUCCACUCAUCUUCCUCUAGAAAAACAACAUCUCUGCUUACAGUCACCUUUCUUGUCAUAGGGUGAAAAAUCCUGUAAGCCUUUGAUUGAAGACUAUACCCGAUGAAGAUUCCAAGCUCUGCCUUCUUAUCCAGCUUGUCCCUCUUGACCUCAGGAACAUGAGUAUAACACAAACACCCAAAAACCUUCAAAUUUUUCACAAAAGGUUUAACACCAUACCAGACUUCAAAAGGUGUUGACCUCUCUAAGGCCUUUGUGGGCAAUCUGUUCAACAAGAACACUGCGGUAUUAGCUGCUUCAGCCCAGAACUUCUUAGGCAACAUCUUCUCCUGCAUCAUACAUCUGGCCAUCUCCAUAAUACUUCUGUUUUUCCUCUCACUGACCCCAUUCUGUUGAGGUGAAUAGGGAGCAGUGAACUGCUGCACAAUUCCUGCUUGCUCACAAUUCAACUUAAACUUAUGAGCAGUAUACUCAGACCCAUUAUCAGACCUGAGCAUUUUAAUUUUCUUCCCACUCUGAUUCUCAACUAAGGCUUUAAACUUCACAAACACAUCAGCAACUUCAGACUUGGCUCGCAGAAAAUAAAUCCAACUCAUCCUAGUCAUAUCAUCAGUGAAGGUAAUGAAAUACCUGCUACCAUUGAGAGAAGACUCAGACAUAGGUCCACAUAAAUCUGUGUGGACUAAUUGCAGCUUUUCACAUGCUCUCCAGCCUCCUCCUUGAAAGGAAAUCUGGCUUGCUUGCCAAGAAGNNNNNNNNNNNNNNNNNNNNNNNNNNNNNNNNNNNNNNNNNNNNNNNNNNNNNNNNNNNNNNNNNNNNNNNNNNNNNNNNNNNNNNNNNNNNNNNNNNNNNNNNNNNNNNNNNNNNNNNNNNNNNNNNNNNNNNNNNNNNNNNNNNNNNNNNNNNNNNNNNNNNNNNNNNNNNNNNNNNNNNNNNNNNNNNNNNNNNNNNNNNNNNNNNNNNNNNNNNNNNNNNNNNNNNNNNNNNNNNNNNNNNNNNNNNNNNNNNNNNNNNNNNNNNNNNNNNNNNNNNNNNNNNNNNNNNNNNNNNNNNNNNNNNNNNNNNNNNNNNNNNNNNNNNNNNNNNNNNNNNNNNNNNNNNNNNNNNNNNNNNNNNNNNNNNNNNNNNNNNNNNNNNNNNNNNNNNNNNNNNNNNNNNNNNNNNNNNNNNNNNNNNNNNNNNNNNNNNNNNNNNNNNNNNNNNNNNNNNNNNNNNNNNNNNNNNNNNNNNNNNNNNNNNNNNNNNNNNNNNNNNNNNNNNNNNNNNNNNNNNNNNNNNNNNNNNNNNNNNNNNNNNNNNNNNNNNNNNNNNNNNNNNNNNNNNNNNNNNNNNNNNNNNNNNNNNNNNNNNNNNNNNNNNNNNNNNNNNNNNNNNNNNNNNNNNNNNNNNNNNNNNNNNNNNNNNNNNNNNNNNNNNNNNNNNNNNNNNNNNNNNNNNNNNNNNNNNNNNNNNNNNNNNNNNNNNNNNNNNNNNNNNNNNNNNNNNNNNNNNNNNNNNNNNNNNNNNNNNNNNNNNNNNNNNNNNNNNNNNNNNNNNNNNNNNNNNNNNNNNNNNNNNNNNNNNNNNNNNNNNNNNNNNNNNNNNNNNNNNNNNNNNNNNNNNNNNNNNNNNNNNNNNNNNNNNNNNNNNNNNNNNNNNNNNNNNNNNNNNNNNNNNNNNNNNNNNNNNNNNNNNNNNNNNNNNNNNNNNNNNNNNNNNNNNNNNNNNNNNNNNNNNNNNNNNNNNNNNNNNNNNNNNNNNNNNNNNNNNNNNNNNNNNNNNNNNNNNNNNNNNNNNNNNNNNNNNNNNNNNNNNNNNNNNNNNNNNNNNNNNNNNNNNNNNNNNNNNNNNNNNNNNNNNNNNNNNNNNNNNNNNNNNNNNNNNNNNNNNNNNNNNNNNNNNNNNNNNNNNNNNNNNNNNNNNNNNNNNNNNNNNNNNNNNNNNNNNNNNNNNNNNNNNNNNNNNNNNNNNNNNNNNNNNNNNNNNNNNNNNNNNNNNNNNNAUCACAUCUCAUGAUCCUUGUGAAGAUAGUGGGUGAAACAGCAGCGUACAGGCAUGACUUUGCCUUGGCCUUCCUUGUGAUUCUCUCUUUAUGGUACUUUAUCUGAUUCAAAGUUGGAUUCUUUGGAAGUGGAGCAACCUCAUAAUAAUCCUCCACAGCUUCCCACAAAUCAUGACCCUCCAAAAAUGCCGUCAUCUUGACAGCCCAUGCUUGAUAAUUCUCUCCAGUAAAUACUGGAGAAGCCAUCGCAGAGAAACCACUCGACCCUGUCUCCAUCACCCUUUAACUUCUUUACACUUCGAUACUUGCUUCACUUCACAGUCCCUCAAGAUCAUACAUGCUCUGAUACCACUGUUGUUACUGAUCAAAAUAGUAAACAAGAAAAUAGAAAACCAGAAGCUAUAUUUUUUGAGAUGAGGAAGAGAAGCGCAGAGAAACAGAACACAAACUUGCAUACGUCUGUUCUAAAGGAAACUGUCAAGUACAGAACAACUUAAACAAAGCAAAAACUGCUCACAUACGUGCAACACAUAACUGCACACAAACAUGCUAUUAACUUCCUAGAAAAUAACAAAAACACUAAAUAAAUAACUAGAUUGAACUUGGCUGUUUUUUAAUAAAAAAAAAAACAGAGUAAAACAGAGCAGAAAACAGAACAGAAAACAGAGUAAAAAAAAAGAGAACAAAACAGAAAACAGCAACUUGAGACAUUAUAAUCCAACAAUAACUUCAACCAGCUUGCAACAUUACUAAGUGAUAUUGAUGAUAUGAUCUCCUAUGGUUUUGACAAACUAGAUUGACUUCGCUUUGCAAGAAAGAGUUGACGCUUUGAAAGAGAACAGAGCAUCGUCGAAGAAGGUUUUAGAGAGAGAAAGAUGGAGAAGGAGAGAUAAGCGGUGAUUUGGUGAUGGCGGAAGCAACAGAGGCGGAGGCGACGACGUGGUUUGCCGGACAAGAGAGAGAAGAACUCGGCCGUAAGUCGGGAGGAAACGAAAGAGCAGAUAAUAGAGAGGGGUGAGAGAGUCUUUCAGGGGGACUUUCAGAUUUCUGACAUUGAGCCUGCGGAUGACAUGUGUACAAUAGUCACCUCGAAUUUAGAUCUAAAUAUUUGUUAGCUUUGGUAAAUUAGAUUCUUCCUACAUUGACAAAGAUUUGCGUUCACUUUUCUCAAUGGACCAACUCUACAACCAUAUAUUCUCAACAUAUUAUUUUGACAAAUUUUAUUACAUUCAUUUUCACAAGCAAAGCGUUAGCUCUAGAGCUAGCAAUAAAUAAAGGUCAUACAAGUGAGUAAUGAGUCCUUCGGGAAGUACAUUUUGAGGAUUCUUAAUGAAGAUAUGUUUAACCAAUGAUUACAUAUGAGGCAAAAAAGGCAUUGCAUUUGAUAAAACCUACAAAGCUUCUUUGGAAUGACUACAUAUAAAGCAAAAAAGUCAUUGCAUCUGAUAAAACCUACAAAGCUUCUCUGGUUUCUUAAUAAGUGUCCUAUGACACUCAUCAAUAAAAUUCUAAGAAUUAAAUGAAGAAAUGAGGUUGGUUGCAAAACAUUUUACAAAAAACGAAAGAGGAUUCUAGAUCUGCAUCAACGUGACUUAUAUGUAAAUCUCUUUCAAAUAGGUAGAUAAGGCUUAAAAUCAAUCGGUCAUAUGGUAACUUUGAGAGUAGAUGCCAUUAUGCGCUAUAUAUAUUUCAUAUCAACAUUAUACCAGCUUUAAUUUGUUGCGACUCAUUCAUUCCAAGUCUAGGUUCUUUGCACGUCUUCUAUAUCUCACAGGCACUUUCCAGCUCAAUAUUACAAGCUCUCUUUUGAUUGCGGUUUUACUAGAUUGUGAGACAUAAAACCUUAAAAGUCUCUUGAGGAGUCUUUUCCUCUAUGGUACUUAUGUGGUGUGUUCUAUUCUAUAUGCUUUAGAUUUUCUAGGGAAACAUUGUCGUAUAAAUUGCAACAUAUAUAUUUGUUCACAUUGUUGUUUUCUGCUCCAAAUUUAGAUCUAUUGUGUGUAUAGCAGGGAAAGAAAUCUGUUAGUCUCAUAUAUCUUGUAGACUUCAAUAAUCUAUUGAUUCCUAUAGAUGUUAUUGGGAUUUUCUUUUGUCCUUCAGUCUGAACGACUAUUGCCAAUUCAUGCACUCUGGUGCGUCCAGAGCCUUUUUUCUUUUUUUUCCUUUCUGAGGAUAUGUAAGAUUUAGUCCACCAUGAGCUCAGAGUUUGACUGGUCGAAACAGAAGGGAACCUUACAGAAAGAACUACUUAAGAGUUUCAGAAGGACUAACCUUUGAGCGACAACGGAGAAACGUAAGUGGUAUGAGCAGAAAAAGGACCAAAACUCAAUAAUCUAAGUUACAACGAAGGACAAGACUUUCACGACAAGCCUUUGACUAAUGAACAGACAAGAUAAUUUUGUCAUUUCUCACUAUCACUCCUAUCUAUUAAGAAGCAAAUGAACCCGAUGUCACCAGUUGUCGCAUGAGGAUAACUAGCCCACCGUUGGAAUCAAGUGUGACUUUCCUCGAGGUAAAUUUUAUCAACCAUAAAAGCCUGAUGAAUAUUUUUAGUUAAUUAAUGGAAGAACUUUCCCUUUAGAUGGUCUUCUUCGUUCUUAAUUUAGACUACCAUUCUCAGGUCCUUCUAAUUGAGGUUUGAUUCAGAAUCAUUUCCCUAGUAGGCUGAAUGAUGAAGUGUCUUUCACAGUUUCACUCGUAGUGUUCAAAUUGGGUGCUACAGAAUUCUCGGAUACUGAAGUGAGCACUAUUCGAGCAAGCACCGGCAAGGUUGUCUGUUGCCACUUUUCAUCAGAUGGGAAACUGCUUGCUACUGGUGGACAUGAUAAGAAGGUAAGUGCGGGCAUAUACGUAGACAUGAUGAUAUGUUGUUGUCUGCCAUAGUCUGAUUUGGGAUGGUUAAAUUUCUGGAUUAUGCAGGCUGUACUCUGGUAUGCAGAUACUUUAAAGCCAAAAGCAACUCUGGAAGAACAUUCUUCUUUGAUCACAGAUGUUCGAUUUAGUCCAACCAGGCAUCGCGUGGCAACGUCUUCUUUUGACAAAACCGUCAGAUUCUGGGAUGCUGACCAUGUUGGUGAAUAUAAUAUCUCAUCGACACUGGUGUUUUCUAGAUUUUUCAAGUUGGUGAAUAUAAUAUCUCAUCGACACUGGUGCUUUCUAGAUUUUUCAAUUACUUUUGUUUUUGACGUGUCUGACUAUAGGUAUUUGUUUAUUUGUUUGUUUAUUUGUUUUUUUGUUUUUUGUUUUUUGUUUUUUGUUUUUGUUUUUGUUUUUUUUUUGUUUUUUUUUUUGUUUGUUUUUUGUUUUUUGUUUUUUGUUUUUGUUUUUGUUUUUGUUUUUUUUUUCUGGAAAGAACAAUCUAAUGAAAGCUAUUUUUACACGUACCCUGGAAAGUUAACGUAGAACAUGAUCUCCACUUGUAGCUCCAAGCAAGCUGAUGUACUGGCAUGGGUUAAUUGACAGGACUCUGAAUUUUAGUUACUGCAUGAUGGUGAAGGGUGAAGAAGUAGGUAAUCUGUCCCUUAGAGCUGACCACAGAAGAUUUUGGUCUUUUAGAGGAAUGGAGCAAGACUUUAAAUUAAAGCUGGUCACCUGUUUUUUUUUUUUUUUUUUGGUGAACGGUAUUAAAUAUAUGAGCUGAGACCAAAUGUACAAAAUAUCACGGUAUCAAAACUUACACUCAAUACGACAGAUUAUAAUGAGUGGAAGGAUGCCAGGAUGUAAAAGCCACCGCCGUGGCAACCAAAAUAGAAUAACACAAAGGAAAAGCACGGCAUGAACAACCGGCGUCUAGAGCAAAACACACACAGUUAGGGAAGAGAACAACCACAACAACCAUCAAACGCCGCUGCUCCCAAGUCCAAAGCCAACAAGCACUAGCUGAAUGGAAGGCAACUAGGGAUUCUCAGAGGAGAUGACUGGGUCAAUGCCCCAGCUUCGCUAUAGUCUUCUAUUCAGUUAUCUUCGACGUUCCUAAAAGUGAUCGCCUUGUCUCUGACCACUUUAAGAAGAUAAUCUUCAUAGCCGGUACAGGAAGAGGCUGUUCUUUAAAAAGAAUGUUGUUCCUGUUUUUCCAAAUAAUAUGACAUAGUGCUCCAAAGGAAAAACGAGCUAUGCACUUAUAAAAUUCCUUUCCCAUAAGCAAGGUGGUGACCAAACGAAGUUCUCCUCCCAAGACCUGUUAUGUCAAGGCAGAUUGCAUUUAGCCGCCCAAAAGAAGGCAACCCCAGCCAUGACACUACGACCAAAAAAUAAAUGGUCGAUAGAAUCCAGCACAUCAUUGCAGAAGGCACAAGCACCACUAUCAAUUCUGCCAUGAGACAAUAAAAGCGUCUGGGUGGGUAGCCUGCACUUGGCCAUAAGCCAAAGGUUUACUUGAUACCGUGGUGUAAUUGCAUUUUUCUAGACAAACGCAUGCCAAUGGACUCGAGUCCUCUUCCGCCUGAAGGUCUCCCAAGCCAACGCAACAGUGAACCGGCCUAACGAACUCUCCCUCUAACAAAAGCAAUCUGAGUUCUAAGAGAGGCUCGGGAGUGGGUGAUCCCACGACUGAAGCACCAACCUGAGAGGCUGCCCAGCAUAAGAGAAAAGAUCAGCCACUAUUGCUUGCCUAGAAAGCCCGGAACUAUAGAUGAUGAAAUCUGAAAAGAUUAAGUUCAGGGGACCCUAGGGUGCCAGUUGUCAAACCAAAGAGAGGGAGAGAGGCCAUCCCCAAUCCUUCAAUAGAAAUGAGUUUGUGGUCGAUUUUAGGUUCAUAGCCCUAAUAGGAGUUGCCAUUGUUUUAAAAUUUGAACAUUGAAAAUUUGGGAACAUAUAUUAUAUUGAGUCGAUAUUAUGAAUAUAUCGCUCAAAUGUCCAUGUGAAUGGUUAUGCAAUCCGACUCUUGUUUACAACCUAGAGAGUUGCUUCAAAAUGUCAAGUUCUCUGAAUUCCAACACUUGCUUACAUGAGAUGAUUGUCUCCUCUUAUUACCCUUGAAGCCGGAAUUCCAGAGCCUGCUGGUAUUGAUAAAUUCUGCCAUGGGCACUCUCUUGUGAUAAUGAUCAAGUGUAGAUUUGGCUACUUCCUUCAUAGAUCAUUUUGAAAGCAUUCUCUUCGGAGCUCAUUGAAUUGCUGUUUUUCGAGUGCAGCCUUUUGUGGCAUUUGUUGUGUGGCUUUUAUAUGAAAUGAUGUCUGUAACUAUUAGGAUUGUAUUUAUCCUUCUUGGCUUUUAUGCAUUCUUUUGGAAGCUCAAUGUCGAGGUUCCUUCAUUUUACCCUGAUAAUGAUCAUGUUUUAAGAGUUUCCUGUGUCGGUAGUUGUUGGUCAAUGUAGAGGGCAAAUUCGCAUGUGACCUUGCUAAGAUUUAUUUGACUGUCUCCAUUUUGUUCCCUAGUGGUAGUAUGCAUUUAGCUUCACUUUUGUUGGCUUUAUGUUUAAUGUCAGUGUGCAUGUGGUAUCAUCAAUGGAUCAUUUGUUCAUUUCAGGCUUGUUAUUCUCUUUGGACUUUUAUGGGGCGUUCUUCUGGUGUUAUGUCUCUGGAUUUCCACUCAAAUAAAGAUGAUCAUAUCUGCUCUUGCGAUGGGGAUGGUGGGAUGAGAUACUGGAGCAUUAAUAACAGCAGCUGUUUGAGGGUAUUCAGGAUACAAAUCAAUAUGAAUUACCAUGCUAAUCGUGUUGUUCCUUGUGGGUUUUAAUGAGAUGGUGCAUCAAGUGCAUCUCGGUUCUGUAAAAACAUAUAACUUAUGUUGCUUGUGAAUCAGGGUGGCACAGACCAUUUGAGAUUCCAACCACGUCUCGGAAGGUAUCUUUCUGCAGCUGCAGAUAAUGUUGUAUCUAUGUUGGAUGUAGAGACACAAGCGUACAGGCAAACUUUGCAGGUUGAAUUUUUAGUAACUUCUUCCUUUUUAUUUGGUCUAGUCAAAUGGGGAUUUUUAUUGGUUGGAAAAAGGGGAUAUUGUUGCUGAGUGAAUGAGUGUCUUACUCUAGUAGGAAUGAUUGAAUGUUGUCAUUCCUCUUGGAUCUGCAACUACCUUUCCAGAUUUUGUGCCAUUGAACAGCUUGCUACUGAUGGCUGUAGCUCAUGCUCUGUUAUUGUGUUGAAAUUUGAAAUGACAAUAUGUUUUGUUUCUCUUAGCAUUAGAAGAAAAGCUAUUAUUUCAUGUCUCUGCCAAAAUCUUACUGUUGCGAUGGGAGAUAUUUUGUUUUUUAUGCUAGGGUGUAUUGGUGAACCUAUUGGCUUGCUGGAUAUAUCUGAGUCAACUUGCCUUAAUAAAGUAGCAUUUUCCCAGGUCUAGGUUUGAGGCACAAUCCAGUUGACAAAUGACAUUAGGAAAAAAGUUGGUCAUCUAAGCUUGUCAUCUUUUUAUCUGCUGUGUCUAAGUAUAUAACAUUCAUGCAUGUCAACAUUUACGGAUGCUAUUUUAAUGAGGCGAUUAGUUUCAAGGUGUAUGUCAUCUUUCAGAGCAUUUUAUCCUUAUUGAAAUUGGUACUCAUUCAAUUGCAUGGCCUUUUAAUUCAAGUUGGCCUUUCUAGCCUUUGGGAUAGUAACAAUUAGUACCUUUAUUCUUUUUGGUUCCUGCUUUUUGUAACGUGUUGAUGGUUCCUGCAUGAAUCUGAAUUUUGAUAACAGGGGUAUACUAAGUCAAUUUAUUAUGUGUGCUGGGAUUCUACCGGCGAGUUAAUUGCAUCUGUCAGUUGGGUCUUGUAGUGAAUGGGACUGUGUACAUGAAUUGAGCUGCAAUGGAAACAAGUUCUACUCCUGCGUGUUCCACCCAACUUCUCCUUCACUUUUGGUGAUUGGCUGCUACGAGGUAAGUGGCAUGUUUGAAUUAUUUAUUUUAGCAUUUUAAUGUGAAUUCUAGCUCCAUACCUAGGGGAAGUACGAUAUAAGUCCAUGUUUAGAUGUUCCCAAAUCUUGUGAAUUCUUAGGAUUAUAUAAGAAAUUUCUAGCAAGCUUCUUGGGAUGCUAAUCCGGCUCAUGAGUUUCUAAAAUAUUAAUUGAUUGUCUAAUACAAAUCAGGCGGCUUUCUCACUAUCCUUUGAAGUAGCGAAGGCUGGUUAAUUGGCAAUUUCAGAACCAUAGCUUCUGAAGCAGGCUCUACAAGAGCCAUGGAACAGAAAAAGCUAUGUGCCUUGACUAAAAGUACAAGUCAUGUGAAUAGACUCUUUAGACUUCUAUUGCCCCAUAAGAUCUUGGGUUAACUGUGCUUUGGUCUAAGCUAAUCGAAAAUUCUCUGCAGACCCUGGAGGUUUGGAAUAUGGCCGAGAACAAGACAAUGGCUUUACCGGCUCAUGAGGGACUAAUUUCAGCAUUGGCAGUAUCAAAUGUGACAGGCUUGGUUGCUUCAGCUAGUCACGACAAGACACUGAAGCUGUGGAAGUGAUACUUUGGCAUCCCUAGGUAUUUGUCCUAUGCACUCAGAUUGUAAGACUGAAUUCGCCGUUCCCAUCAAAGUGCAUGCAUCUUGUCCCGUAUCAGUUGCGUCAGUACACCCGGUUGGUGUCGUCUCCCUGAUACUAAUUUAGAGCUUAUCACGAGCGAUGGGAUUUAAAACUUUGUGACAUUUAUUGCUGUUGUACAUCGAGUGAUGACUUCUUUUGUCAAGUUGAAUCUUUCUGCGAAUGCUUCAGUGACAUGUAAUGUUUGGCCUUUCCUUAAAGAAGGAAAUGUUCUCAGGUAGGACGCUACAUCAAUAAUUGACGUGUUCUUUCCUUUGGUACUUAUGCCAUGUCUCUCUUACUCGAACUUUGAUGUCAUUUAAUUUUUUGGUCAGAUUGAAAUUCUCAUUGUCGGUUUCAUUCUCAUUCUCAUCAACUUAGAACGCAUGACAAUAUUUCUAUUUUUCUAUUUCUCUAUUCCCUAAAACAGAUUUGGAACAGAAAUCAAUUUGAUAACGUAAUUUUAUUUUUCUAUUUCUGGAACAGAUUUCUAUUCAGAAAUAGAUUUUGAGUAGAAAUCAAAGAUUAAAACUUUUAACUUUUCUAUUUCUGAGAAAUCAAAACUUUCUUCAUUAUUCACUCUCAUCAUUGCUCGUCACCCACCCACCGCUUGCGGGAUGCCGAAUGCCUGCCGCUAGUUGCGGGCCACUCGCCACCGGCCUCGGCAAUCAGCCGCUCGCCAUUGACUGUUGGCCACCAGAUGCCGAUCGCUAGCCACCGGACUCCAACCGCCCGUCAUUGACCGUUGGCUGCCGAAUGUUGGACACCCGUCGGUCGUUGGCCACUCAUCGCCAACCAUUGGACACCAGAGGAAAUCAUUUUAAUGUGGUUGACAUGUUGAGAGGCAAGAACUCUUUUCUUGUAAUAGCUGUGUACGCAUAUGUAGCAAUUAAGGCGUACUACUAAAUUGCUAUAGUAAACAUGUUUUGCAUGAUGCGGUGAAUGCACCGUCGGCACGCCUCGUAUUCAUAGAUACAUAGUGGUACUAUGUAUUGUAUUGCUGUGGAGUGAAAAUGCUAGAAGCUGCUGUAGAUGUAACUUGUUUUCAGCGGAACUAAUGGCAAUUUGCAAGUAUGCGUUGCUCGUCUGAAAUGCUGUUCUCAUGGUGAUAUCAAAUUCUCCCCCAGUUCUAUGCUCUUCAUGGGGCCAAGCCACAGAAACAUGAUGAAGAUAAACAUGCCAACCUGGGCUUGAAUCUCUGUGUCUCUCUCAUUGCGGGCGCACGCCCGCCUGCCUCUGGUUUGGUCGGAACUGUUUAUUUUUGUGACUUUCCUG